AGGUGCGAUCAUACCAGCACUAAUGCACCGGAUCCCAUCAGAACUCCGCAGUUAAGCGUGCUUGGGCGAGAGUAGUACUAGGAUGGGUGACCUCCUGGGAAGUCCUUGUGUUGCACCUCUUUUUGCCAAAAUUUCGUGUUCUUUUUGUUAAUUAGCGUAAUUUUACGUCGUUUUUGAAAAAUAAACUUCGAUUGUAUUUCAUUUUUUCCGUUAAUUUACGCUACCUAACACUCUAUUAGUUAAUUAAUUAGCGUAGUUUGACGUCUUUUUUGAAAAAUAAAUUAGAAAUGCAUAUAUACAAUUACAACGCUUUACUCUCAGGUGCGAUCAUACCAGCACUAAUGCACCGGAUCCCAUCAGAACUCCGCAGUUAAGCGUGCUUGGGCGAGAGUAGUACUAGGUAGGAUGGGUGACCUCCUGGGAAGUCCUUGUGUUGCACCUCUUUUUGCCAAAAUUUCGUGUUCUUUUUGUUAAUUAGCGUAAUUUUACGUCGUUUUUGAAAAAUAAACUUCGAUUGUAUUUCAUUUUUUCCGUUAAUUUACGCUACCUAACACUCUAUUAGUUAAUUAAUUAGCGUAGUUUGACGUCUUUUUUGAAAAAUAAAUUAGAAAUGCAUAUAUACAAUUACAACGCUUUACUCUCAGGUGCGAUCAUACCAGCACUAAUGCACCGGAUCCCAUCAGAACUCCGCAGUUAAGCGUGCUUGGGCGAGAGUAGUACUAGGAUGGGUGACCUCCUGGGAAGUCCUUGUGUUGCACCUCUUUUUGCCAAAAUUUCGUGUUCUUUUUGUUAAUUAGCGUAAUUUUACGUCGUUUUUGAAAAAUAAACUUCGAUUGUAUUUCAUUUUUUCCGUUAAUUUACGCUACCUAACACUCUAUUAGUUAAUUAAUUAGCGUAGUUUGACGUCUUUUUUGAAAAAUAAAUUAGAAAUGCAUAUAUACAAUUACAACGCUUUACUCUCAGGUGCGAUCAUACCAGCACUAAUGCACCGGAUCCCAUCAGAACUCCGCAGUUAAGCGUGCUUGGGCGAGAGAGUAGUACUAGGAUGGGUGACCUCCUGGGAAGUCCUUGUGUUGCACCUCUUUUUGCCAAAAUUUCGUGUUCUUUUUGUUAAUUAGCGUAAUUUUACGUCGUUUUUGAAAAAUAAACUUCGAUUGUAUUUCAUUUUUUCCGUUAAUUUACGCUACCUAACACUCUAUUAGUUAAUUAAUUAGCGUAGUUUGACGUCUUUUUUGAAAAAUAAAUUAGAAAUGCAUAUAUACAAUUACAACGCUUUACUCUCAGGUGCGAUCAUACCAGCACUAAUGCACCGGAUCCCAUCAGAACUCCGCAGUUAAGCGUGCUUGGGCGAGAGUAGUACUAGGAUGGGUGACCUCCUGGGAAGUCCUUGUGUUGCACCUCUUUUUGCCAAAAUUUCGUGUUCUUUUUGUUAAUUAGCGUAAUUUUACGUCGUUUUUGAAAAAUAAACUUCGAUUGUAUUUCAUUUUUUCCGUUAGAUUACGCUACCUAACACUCUAUUAGUUAAUUAAUUAGCGUAGUUUGACGUCUUUUUUGAAAAAUAAAUUAGAAAUGCAUAUAUACAAUUACAACGCUUUACUCUCAGGUGCGAUCAUACCAGCACUAAUGCACCGGAUCCCAUCAGAACUCCGCAGUUAAGCGUGCUUGGGCGAGAGUAGUACUAGGUAGGAUGGGUGACCUCCUGGGAAGUCCUUGUGUUGCACCUCUUUUUGCCAAAAUUUCGUGUUCUUUUUGUUAAUUAGCGUAAUUUUACGUCGUUUUUGAAAAAUAAACUUCGAUUGUAUUUCAUUUUUUCCGUUAAUUUACGCUACCUAACACUCUAUUAGUUAAUUAAUUAGCGUAGUUUGACGUCUUUUUUGAAAAAUAAAUUAGAAAUGCAUAUAUACAAUUACAACGCUUUACUCUCAGGUGCGAUCAUACCAGCACUAAUGCACCGGAUCCCAUCAGAACUCCGCAGUUAAGCGUGCUUGGGCGAGAGUAGUACUAGGAUGGGUGACCUCCUGGGAAGUCCUUGUGUUGCACCUCUUUUUGCCAAAAUUUCGUGUUCUUUUUGUUAAUUAGCGUAAUUUUACGUCGUUUUUGAAAAAUAAACUUCGAUUGUAUUUCAUUUUUUCCGUUAAUUUACGCUACCUAACACUCUAUUAGUUAAUUAAUUAGCGUAGUUUGACGUCUUUUUUGAAAAAUAAAUUAGAAAUGCAUAUAUACAAUUACAACGCUUUACUCUCAGGUGCGAUCAUACCAGCACUAAUGCACCGGAUCCCAUCAGAACUCCGCAGUUAAGCGUGCUUGGGCGAGAGUAGUACUAGGAUGGGUGACCUCCUGGGAAGUCCUUGUGUUGCACCUCUUUUUGCCAAAAUUUCGUGUUCUUUUUGUUAAUUAGCGUAAUUUUACGUCGUUUUUGAAAAAUAAACUUCGAUUGUAUUUCAUUUUUUCCGUUAAUUUACGCUACCUAACACUCUAUUAGUUAAUUAAUUAGCGUAGUUUGACGUCUUUUUUGAAAAAUAAAUUAGAAAUGCAUAUAUACAAUUACAACGCUUUACUCUCAGGUGCGAUCAUACCAGCACUAAUGCACCGGAUCCCAUCAGAACUCCGCAGUUAAGCGUGCUUGGGCGAGAGUAGUACUAGGUAGGAUGGGUGACCUCCUGGGAAGUCCUUGUGUUGCACCUCUUUUUGCCAAAAUUUCGUGUUCUUUUUGUUAAUUAGCGUAAUUUUACGUCGUUUUUGAAAAAUAAACUUCGAUUGUAUUUCAUUUUUUCCGUUAAUUUACGCUACCUAACACUCUAUUAGUUAAUUAAUUAGCGUAGUUUGACGUCUUUUUUGAAAAAUAAAUUAGAAAUGCAUAUAUACAAUUACAACGCUUUACUCUCAGGUGCGAUCAUACCAGCACUAAUGCACCGGAUCCCAUCAGAACUCCGCAGUUAAGCGUGCUUGGGCGAGAGUAGUACUAGGAUGGGUGACCUCCUGGGAAGUCCUUGUGUUGCACCUCUUUUUGCCAAAAUUUCGUGUUCUUUUUGUUAAUUAGCGUAAUUUUACGUCGUUUUUGAAAAAUAAACUUCGAUUGUAUUUCAUUUUUUCCGUUAAUUUACGCUACCUAACACUCUAUUAGUUAAUUAAUUAGCGUAGUUUGACGUCUUUUUUGAAAAAUAAAUUAGAAAUGCAUAUAUACAAUUACAACGCUUUACUCUCAGGUGCGAUCAUACCAGCACUAAUGCACCGGAUCCCAUCAGAACUCCGCAGUUAAGCGUGCUUGGGCGAGAGUAGUACUAGGAUGGGUGACCUCCUGGGAAGUCCUUGUGUUGCACCUCUUUUUGCCAAAAUUUCGUGUUCUUUUUGUUAAUUAGCGUAAUUUUACGUCGUUUUUGAAAAAUAAACUUCGAUUGUAUUUCAUUUUUUCCGUUAAUUUACGCUACCUAACACUCUAUUAGUUAAUUAAUUAGCGUAGUUUGACGUCUUUUUUGAAAAAUAAAUUAGAAAUGCAUAUAUACAAUUACAACGCUUUACUCUCAGGUGCGAUCAUACCAGCACUAAUGCACCGGAUCCCAUCAGAACUCCGCAGUUAAGCGUGCUUGGCGGGCGAGAGUAGUACUAGGAUGGGUGACCUCCUGGGAAGUCCUUGUGUUGCACCUCUUUUUGCCAAAAUUUCGUGUUCUUUUUGUUAAUUAGCGUAAUUUUACGUCGUUUUUGAAAAAUAAACUUCGAUUGUAUUUCAUUUUUUCCGUUAAUUUACGCUACCUAACACUCUAUUAGUUAAUUAAUUAGCGUAGUUUGACGUCUUUUUUGAAAAAUAAAUUAGAAAUGCAUAUAUACAAUUACAACGCUUUACUCUCAGGUGCGAUCAUACCAGCACUAAUGCACCGGAUCCCAUCAGAACUCCGCAGUUAAGCGUGCUUGGGCGAGAGUAGUACUAGGAUGGGUGACCUCCUGGGAAGUCCUUGUGUUGCACCUCUUUUUGCCAAAAUUUCGUGUUCUUUUUGUUAAUUAGCGUAAUUUUACGUCGUUUUUGAAAAAUAAACUUCGAUUGUAUUUCAUUUUUUCCGUUAAUUUACGCUACCUAACACUCUAUUAGUUAAUUAAUUAGCGUAGUUUGACGUCUUUUUUGAAAAAUAAAUUAGAAAUGCAUAUAUACAAUUACAACGCUUUACUCUCAGGUGCGAUCAUACCAGCACUAAUGCACCGGAUCCCAUCAGAACUCCGCAGUUAAGCGUGCUUGGGCGGCCGAGAGUAGUACUAGGAUGGGUGACCUCCUGGGAAGUCCUUGUGUUGCACCUCUUUUUGCCAAAAUUUCGUGUUCUUUUUGUUAAUUAGCGUAAUUUUACGUCGUUUUUGAAAAAUAAACUUCGAUUGUAUUUCAUUUUUUCCGUUAAUUUACGCUACCUAACACUCUAUUAGUUAAUUAAUUAGCGUAGUUUGACGUCUUUUUUGAAAAAUAAAUUAGAAAUGCAUAUAUACAAUUACAACGCUUUACUCUCAGGUGCGAUCAUACCAGCACUAAUGCACCGGAUCCCAUCAGAACUCCGCAGUUAAGCGUGCUUGGGCGAGAGUAGUACUAGGAUGGGUGACCUCCUGGGAAGUCCUUGUGUUGCACCUCUUUUUGCCAAAAUUUCGUGUUCUUUUUGUUAAUUAGCGUAAUUUUACGUCGUUUUUGAAAAAUAAACUUCGAUUGUAUUUCAUUUUUUCCGUUAAUUUACGCUACCUAACACUCUAUUAGUUAAUUAAUUAGCGUAGUUUGACGUCUUUUUUGAAAAAUAAAUUAGAAAUGCAUAUAUACAAUUACAACGCUUUACUCUCAGGUGCGAUCAUACCAGCACUAAUGCACCGGAUCCCAUCAGAACUCCGCAGUUAAGCGUGCUUGGACGAGAGUAAUACUAGGAUGGGUGACCUCCUGGGAAGUCCUUGUGUUGCACCUCUUUUUGCCAAAAUUUCGUGUUCUUUUUGUUAAUUAGCGUAAUUUUACGUCGUUUUUGAAAAAUAAACUUCGAUUGUAUUUCAUUUUUUCCGUUAAUUUACGCUACCUAACACUCUAUUAGUUAAUUAAUUAGCGUAGUUUGACGUCUUUUUUGAAAAAUAAAUUAGAAAUGCAUAUAUACAAUUACAACGCUUUACUCUCAGGUGCGAUCAUACCAGCACUAAUGCACCGGAUCCCAUCAGAACUCCGCAGUUAAGCGUGCUUGGGCGAGAGUAGUACUAGGAUGGGUGACCUCCUGGGAAGUCCUUGUGUUGCACCUCUUUUUGCCAAAAUUUCGUGUUCUUUUUGUUAAUUAGCGUAAUUUUACGUCGUUUUUGAAAAAUAAACUUCGAUUGUAUUUCAUUUUUUCCGUUAAUUUACGCUACCUAACACUCUAUUAGUUAAUUAAUUAGCGUAGUUUGACGUCUUUUUUGAAAAAUAAAUUAGAAAUGCAUAUAUACAAUUACAACGCUUUACUCUCAGGUGCGAUCAUACCAGCACUAAUGCACCGGAUCCCAUCAGAACUCCGCAGUUAAGCGUGCUUGGGCGAGAGUAGUACUAGGAUGGGUGACCUCCUGGGAAGUCCUUGUGUUGCACCUCUUUUUGCCAAAAUUUCGUGUUCUUUUUGUUAAUUAGCGUAAUUUUACGUCGUUUUUGAAAAAUAAACUUCGAUUGUAUUUCAUUUUUUCCGUUAAUUUACGCUACCUAACACUCUAUUAGUUAAUUAAUUAGCGUAGUUUGACGUCUUUUUUGAAAAAUAAAUUAGAAAUGCAUAUAUACAAUUACAACGCUUUACUCUCAGGUGCGAUCAUACCAGCACUAAUGCACCGGAUCCCAUCAGAACUCCGCAGUUAAGCGUGCUUGGGCGAGAGUAGUACUAGGAUGGGUGACCUCCUGGGAAGUCCUUGUGUUGCACCUCUUUUUGCCAAAAUUUCGUGUUCUUUUUGUUAAUUAGCGUAAUUUUACGUCGUUUUUGAAAAAUAAACUUCGAUUGUAUUUCAUUUUUUCCGUUAAUUUACGCUACCUAACACUCUAUUAGUUAAUUAAUUAGCGUAGUUUGACGUCUUUUUUAAAAAUAAAUUAGAAAUGCAUAUAUACAAUUACAACGCUUUACUCUCAGGUGCGAUCAUACCAGCACUAAUGCACCGGAUCCCAUCAGAACUCCGCAGUUAAGCGUGCUUGGGCGAGAGUAGUACUAGGAUGGGUGACCUCCUGGGAAGUCCUUGUGUUGCACCUCUUUUUGCCAAAAUUUCGUGUUCUUUUUGUUAAUUAGCGUAAUUUUACGUCGUUUUUGAAAAAUAAACUUCGAUUGUAUUUCAUUUUUUCCGUUAAUUUACGCUACCUAACACUCUAUUAGUUAAUUAAUUAGCGUAGUUUGACGUCUUUUUUGAAAAAUAAAUUAGAAAUGCAUAUAUACAAUUACAACGCUUUACUCUCAGGUGCGAUCAUACCAGCACUAAUGCACCGGAUCCCAUCAGAACUCCGCAGUUAAGCGUGCUUGGGGCGAGAGUAGUACUAGGAUGGGUGACCUCCUGGGAAGUCCUUGUGUUGCACCUCUUUUUGCCAAAAUUUCGUGUUCUUUUUGUUAAUUAGCGUAAUUUUACGUCGUUUUUGAAAAAUAAACUUCGAUUGUAUUUCAUUUUUUCCGUUAAUUUACGCUACCUAACACUCUAUUAGUUAAUUAAUUAGCGUAGUUUGACGUCUUUUUUGAAAAAUAAAUUAGAAAUGCAUAUAUACAAUUACAACGCUUUACUCUCAGGUGCGAUCAUACCAGCACUAAUGCACCGGAUCCCAUCAGAACUCCGCAGUUAAGCGUGCUUGGGCGAGAGUAGUACUAGGAUGGGUGACCUCCUGGGAAGUCCUUGUGUUGCACCUCUUUUUGCCAAAAUUUCGUGUUCUUUUUGUUAAUUAGCGUAAUUUUACGUCGUUUUUGAAAAAUAAACUUCGAUUGUAUUUCAUUUUUUCCGUUAAUUUACGCUACCUAACACUCUAUUAGUUAAUUAAUUAGCGUAGUUUGACGUCUUUUUUGAAAAAUAAAUUAGAAAUGCAUAUAUACAAUUACAACGCUUUACUCUCAGGUGCGAUCAUACCAGCACUAAUGCACCGGAUCCCAUCAGAACUCCGCAGUUAAGCGUGCUUGGGCGAGAGUAGUACUAGGAUGGGUGACCUCCUGGGAAGUCCUUGUGUUGCACCUCUUUUUGCCAAAAUUUCGUGUUCUUUUUGUUAAUUAGCGUAAUUUUACGUCGUUUUUGAAAAAUAAACUUCGAUUGUAUUUCAUUUUUUCCGUUAAUUUACGCUACCUAACACUCUAUUAGUUAAUUAAUUAGCGUAGUUUGACGUCUUUUUUGAAAAAUAAAUUAGAAAUGCAUAUAUACAAUUACAACGCUUUACUCUCAGGUGCGAUCAUACCAGCACUAAUGCACCGGAUCCCAUCAGAACUCCGCAGUUAAGCGUGCUUGGGCGAGAGUAGUACUAGGAUGGGUGACCUCCUGGGAAGUCCUUGUGUUGCACCUCUUUUUGCCAAAAUUUCGUGUUCUUUUUGUUAAUUAGCGUAAUUUUACGUCGUUUUUGAAAAAUAAACUUCGAUUGUAUUUCAUUUUUUCCGUUAAUUUACGCUACCUAACACUCUAUUAGUUAAUUAAUUAGCGUAGUUUGACGUCUUUUUUGAAAAAUAAAUUAGAAAUGCAUAUAUACAAUUACAACGCUUUACUCUCAGGUGCGAUCAUACCAGCACUAAUGCACCGGAUCCCAUCAGAACUCCGCAGUUAAGCGUGCUUGGGCGAGAGUAGUACUAGGUAGGAUGGGUGACCUCCUGGGAAGUCCUUGUGUUGCACCUCUUUUUGCCAAAAUUUCGUGUUCUUUUUGUUAAUUAGCGUAAUUUUACGUCGUUUUUGAAAAAUAAACUUCGAUUGUAUUUCAUUUUUUCCGUUAAUUUACGCUACCUAACACUCUAUUAGUUAAUUAAUUAGCGUAGUUUGACGUCUUUUUUGAAAAAUAAAUUAGAAAUGCAUAUAUACAAUUACAACGCUUUACUCUCAGGUGCGAUCAUACCAGCACUAAUGCACCGGAUCCCAUCAGAACUCCGCAGUUAAGCGUGCUUGGCGGCGAGAGUAGUACUAGGAUGGGUGACCUCCUGGGAAGUCCUUGUGUUGCACCUCUUUUUGCCAAAAUUUCUGUUCUUUUUGUUAAUUAGCGUAAUUUUACGUCGUUUUUGAAAAAUAAACUUCGAUUGUAUUUCAUUUUUUCCGUUAAUUUACGCUACCUAACACUCUAUUAGUUAAUUAAUUAGCGUAGUUUGACGUCUUUUUUGAAAAAUAAAUUAAAAAUGCAUAUAUACAAUUACAACGCUUUACUCUCAGGUGCGAUCAUACCAGCACUAAUGCACCGGAUCCCAUCAGAACUCCGCAGUUAAGCGCGCUUGGGCGAGAGUAGUACUAGGAUGGGUGACCUCCUGGGAAGUCCUUGUUUGCACCUCUUUUUGCCAAAAUUUCUUGUUCUUUUUGUUAAUUAGCGUAAUUUUACGUCGUUUUUGAAAAAUAAACUUCGAUUGUAUUUCAUUUUUUCCGUUAAUUUACGCUACCUAACACUCUAUUAGUUAAUUAAUUAGCGUAGUUUGACGUCUUUUUUGAAAAAUAAAUUAGAAAUGCAUAUAUACAAUUACAACGCUUUACUCUCAGGUGCGAUCAUACCAGCACUAAUGCACCGGAUCCCAUCAGAACUCCGCAGUUAAGCGUGCUUGGGCGAGAGUAGUACUAGGAUGGAUGGGUGACCUCCUGGGAAGUCCUUGUGUUGCACCUCUUUUUGCCAAAAUUUCGUGUUCUUUUUGUUAAUUAGCGUAAUUUUACGUCGUUUUUGAAAAAUAAACUUCGAUUGUAUUUCAUUUUUUCCGUUAAUUUACGCUACCUAACACUCUAUUAGUUAAUUAAUUAGCGUAGUUUGACGUCUUUUUUGAAAAAUAAAUUAGAAAUGCAUAUAUACAAUUACAACGCUUUACUCUCAGGUGCGAUCAUACCAGCACUAAUGCACCGGAUCCCAUCAGAACUCCGCAGUUAAGCGUGCUUGGGCGAGAGUAGUACUAGGAUGGAUGGGUGACCUCCUGGGAAGUCCUUGUGUUGCACCUCUUUUUGCCAAAAUUUCGUGUUCUUUUUGUUAAUUAGCGUAAUUUUACGUCGUUUUUGAAAAAUAAACUUCGAUUGUAUUUCAUUUUUUCCGUUAAUUUACGCUACCUAACACUCUAUUAGUUAAUUAAUUAGCGUAGUUUGACGUCUUUUUUGAAAAAUAAAUUAGAAAUGCAUAUAUACAAUUACAACGCUUUACUCUCAGGUGCGAUCAUACCAGCACUAAUGCACCGGAUCCCAUCAGAACUCCGCAGUUAAGCGUGCUUGGGCGAGAGUAGUACUAGGAUGGAUGGGUGACCUCCUGGGAAGUCCUUGUGUUGCACCUCUUUUUGCCAAAAUUUCGUGUUCUUUUUGUUAAUUAGCGUAAUUUUACGUCGUUUUUGAAAAAUAAACUUCGAUUGUAUUUCAUUUUUUCCGUUAAUUUACGCUACCUAACACUCUAUUAGUUAAUUAAUUAGCGUAGUUUGACGUCUUUUUUGAAAAAUAAAUUAGAAAUGCAUAUAUACAAUUACAACGCUUUACUCUCAGGUGCGAUCAUACCAGCACUAAUGCACCGGAUCCCAUCAGAACUCCGCAGUUAAGCGUGCUUGGGCGAGAGUAGUACUAGGAUGGAUGGGUGACCUCCAGGGAAGUCCUUGUGUUGCACCUCUUUUUGCCAAAAUUUCGUGUUCUUUUUGUUAAUUAGCGUAAUUUUACGUCGUUUUUGAAAAAUAAACUUCGAUUGUAUUUCAUUUUUUCCGUUAAUUUACGCUACCUAACACUCUAUUAGUUAAUUAAUUAGCGUAGUUUGACGUCUUUUUUGAAAAAUAAAUUAGAAAUGCAUAUAUACAAUUACAACGCUUUACUCUCAGGUGCGAUCAUACCAGCACUAAUGCACCGGAUCCCAUCAGAACUCCGCAGUUAAGCGUGCUUGGGCGAGAGUAGUACUAGGAGGAUGGGUGACCUCCUGGGAAGUCCUUGUGUUGCACCUCUUUUUGCCAAAAUUUCGUGUUCUUUUUGUUAAUUAGCGUAAUUUUACGUCGUUUUUGAAAAAUAAACUUCGAUUGUAUUUCAUUUUUUCCGUUAAUUUACGCUACCUAACACUCUAUUAGUUAAUUAAUUAGCGUAGUUUGACGUCUUUUUUGAAAAAUAAAUUAGAAAUGCAUAUAUACAAUUACAACGCUUUACUCUCAGGUGCGAUCAUACCAGCACUAAUGCACCGGAUCCCAUCAGAACUCCGCAGUUAAGCGUGCUUGGGCGAGAGUAGUACUAGGAUGGAUGGGUGACCUCCUGGGAAGUCCUUGUGUUGCACCUCUUUUUGCCAAAAUUUCGUGUUCUUUUUGUUAAUUAGCGUAAUUUUACGUCGUUUUUGAAAAAUAAACUUCGAUUGUAUUUCAUUUUUUCCGUUAAUUUACGCUACCUAACACUCUAUUAGUUAAUUAAUUAGCGUAGUUUGACGUCUUUUUUGAAAAAUAAAUUAGAAAUGCAUAUAUACAAUUACAACGCUUUACUCUCAGGUGCGAUCAUACCAGCACUAAUGCACCGGAUCCCAUCAGAACUCCGCAGUUAAGCGUGCUUGGGCCGAGAGUAGUACUAGGAUGGGUGACCUCCUGGGAAGUCCUUGUGUUGCACCUCUUUUUGCCAAAAUUUCGUGUUCUUUUUGUUAAUUAGCGUAAUUUUACGUCGUUUUUGAAAAAUAAACUUCGAUUGUAUUUCAUUUUUUCCGUUAAUUUACGCUACCUAACACUCUAUUAGUUAAUUAAUUAGCGUAGUUUGACGUCUUUUUUGAAAAAUAAAUUAAAAAUGCAUAUAUACAAUUACAACGCUUUACUCUCAGGUGCGAUCAUACCAGCACUAAUGCACCGGAUCCCAUCAGAACUCCGCAGUUAAGCGUGCUUGGGCGAGAGUAGUACUAGGAUGGGUGACCUCCUGGGAAGUCCUUGUGUUGCACCUCUUUUUGCCAAAAUUUCGUGUUCUUUUUGUUAAUUAGCGUAAUUUUACGUCGUUUUUGAAAAAUAAACUUCGAUUGUAUUUCAUUUUUUCCGUUAAUUUACGCUACCUAACACUCUAUUAGUUAAUUAAUUAGCGUAGUUUGACGUCUUUUUUGAAAAAUAAAUUAGAAAUGCAUAUAUACAAUUACAACGCUUUACUCUCAGGUGCGAUCAUACCAGCACUAAUGCACCGGAUCCCAUCAGAACUCCGCAGUUAAGCGUGCUUGGGCGAGAGUAGUACUAGAUGGGUGACCUCCUGGGAAGUCCUUGUGUUGCACCUCUUUUUGCCAAAAUUUCGUGUUCUUUUUGUUAAUUAGCGUAAUUUUACGUCGUUUUUGAAAAAUAAACUUCGAUUGUAUUUCAUUUUUUCCGUUAAUUUACGCUACCUAACACUCUAUUAGUUAAUUAAUUAGCGUAGUUUGACGUCUUUUUUGAAAAAUAAAUUAGAAAUGCAUAUAUACAAUUACAACGCUUUACUCUCAGGUGCGAUCAUACCAGCACUAAUGCACCGGAUCCCAUCAGAACUCCGCAGUUAAGCGCGCUUGGGCGAGAGUAGUACUAGGAUGGGUGACCUCCUGGGAAGUCCUUGUUUGCACCUCUUUUUGCCAAAAUUUCUUGUUCUUUUUGUUAAUUAGCGUAAUUUUACGUCGUUUUUGAAAAAUAAACUUCGAUUGUAUUUCAUUUUUUCCGUUAAUUUACGCUACCUAACACUCUAUUAGUUAAUUAAUUAGCGUAGUUUGACGUCUUUUUUGAAAAAUAAAUUAGAAAUGCAUAUAUACAAUUACAACGCUUUACUCUCAGGUGCGAUCAUACCAGCACUAAUGCACCGGAUCCCAUCAGAACUCCGCAGUUAAGCGUGCUUGGGCGAGAGUAGUACUAGGAUGGGUGACCUCCUGGGAAGUCCUUGUGUUGCACCUCUUUUUGCCAAAAUUUCGUGUUCUUUUUGUUAAUUAGCGUAAUUUUACGUCGUUUUUGAAAAAUAAACUUCGAUUGUAUUUCAUUUUUUCCGUUAAUUUACGCUACCUAACACUCUAUUAGUUAAUUAAUUAGCGUAGUUUGACGUCUUUUUUGAAAAAUAAAUUAGAAAUGCAUAUAUACAAUUACAACGCUUUACUCUCAGGUGCGAUCAUACCAGCACUAAUGCACCGGAUCCCAUCAGAACUCCGCAGUUAAGCGUGCUUGGGCGAGAGUAGUACUAGGAUGGGUGACCUCCUGGGAAGUCCUUGUGUUGCACCUCUUUUUGCCAAAAUUUCGUGUUCUUUUUGUUAAUUAGCGUAAUUUUACGUCGUUUUUGAAAAAUAAACUUCGAUUGUAUUUCAUUUUUUCCGUUAAUUUACGCUACCUAACACUCUAUUAGUUAAUUAAUUAGCGUAGUUUGACGUCUUUUUUGAAAAAUAAAUUAGAAAUGCAUAUAUACAAUUACAACGCUUUACUCUCAGGUGCGAUCAUACCAGCACUAAUGCACCGGAUCCCAUCAGAACUCCGCAGUUAAGCGCGCUUGGGCGAGAGUAGUACUAGGAUGGGUGACCUCCUGGGAAGUCCUUGUUUGCACCUCUUUUUGCCAAAAUUUCUUGUUCUUUUUGUUAAUUAGCGUAAUUUUACGUCGUUUUUGAAAAAUAAACUUCGAUUGUAUUUCAUUUUUUCCGUUAAUUUACGCUACCUAACACUCUAUUAGUUAAUUAAUUAGCGUAGUUUGACGUCUUUUUUGAAAAAUAAAUUAGAAAUGCAUAUAUACAAUUACAACGCUUUACUCUCAGGUGCGAUCAUACCAGCACUAAUGCACCGGAUCCCAUCAGAACUCCGCAGUUAAGCGUGCUUGGGCGAGAGUAGUACUAGGAUGGGUGACCUCCUGGGAAGUCCUUGUGUUGCACCUCUUUUUGCCAAAAUUUCGUGUUCUUUUUGUUAAUUAGCGUAAUUUUACGUCGUUUUUGAAAAAUAAACUUCGAUUGUAUUUCAUUUUUUCCGUUAAUUUACGCUACCUAACACUCUAUUAGUUAAUUAAUUAGCGUAGUUUGACGUCUUUUUUGAAAAAUAAAUUAGAAAUGCAUAUAUACAAUUACAACGCUUUACUCUCAGGUGCGAUCAUACCAGCACUAAUGCACCGGAUCCCAUCAGAACUCCGCAGUUAAGCGUGCUUGGGGCGAGAGUAGUACUAGGAUGGGUGACCUCCUGGGAAGUCCUUGUGUUGCACCUCUUUUUGCCAAAAUUUCGUGUUCUUUUUGUUAAUUAGCGUAAUUUUACGUCGUUUUUGAAAAAUAAACUUCGAUUGUAUUUCAUUUUUUCCGUUAAUUUACGCUACCUAACACUCUAUUAGUUAAUUAAUUAGCGUAGUUUGACGUCUUUUUUGAAAAAUAAAUUAAAAAUGCAUAUAUACAAUUACAACGCUUUACUCUCAGGUGCGAUCAUACCAGCACUAAUGCACCGGAUCCCAUCAGAACUCCGCAGUUAAGCGUGCUUGGGCGAGAGUAGUACUAGGAUGGGUGACCUCCUGGGAAGUCCUUGUUUUGCACCUCUUUUUGCCAAAAUUUCGUGUUCUUUUUGUUAAUUAGCGUAAUUUUACGUCGUUUUUGAAAAAUAAACUUCGAUUGUAUUUCAUUUUUUCCGUUAAUUUACGCUACCUAACACUCUAUUAGUUAAUUAAUUAGCGUAGUUUGACGUCUUUUUUGAAAAAUAAAUUAGAAAUGCAUAUAUACAAUUACAACGCUUUACUCUCAGGUGCGAUCAUACCAGCACUAAUGCACCGGAUCCCAUCAGAACUCCGCAGUUAAGCGUGCUUGGGCGAGAGUAGUACUAGGAUGGGUGACCUCCUGGGAAGUCCUUGUGUUGCACCUCUUUUUGCCAAAAUUUCGUGUUCUUUUUGUUAAUUAGCGUAAUUUUACGUCGUUUUUGAAAAAUAAACUUCGAUUGUAUUUCAUUUUUUCCGUUAAUUUACGCUACCUAACACUCUAUUAGUUAAUUAAUUAGCGUAGUUUGACGUCUUUUUUGAAAAAUAAAUUAGAAAUGCAUAUAUACAAUUACAACGCUUUACUCUCAGGUGCGAUCAUACCAGCACUAAUGCACCGGAUCCCAUCAGAACUCCGCAGUUAAGCGUGCUUGGGCGAGAGUAGUACUAGGAUGGGUGACCUCCUGGGAAGUCCUUGUGUUGCACCUCUUUUUGCCAAAAUUUCUGUUCUUUUUGUUAAUUAGCGUAAUUUUACGUCGUUUUUGAAAAAUAAACUUCGAUUGUAUUUCAUUUUUUCCGUUAAUUUACGCUACCUAACACUCUAUUAGUUAAUUAAUUAGCGUAGUUUGACGUCUUUUUUGAAAAAUAAAUUAGAAAUGCAUAUAUACAAUUACAACGCUUUACUCUCAGGUGCGAUCAUACCAGCACUAAUGCACCGGAUCCCAUCAGAACUCCGCAGUUAAGCGUGCUUGGGCGAGAGUAGUACUAGGAUGGGUGACCUCCUGGGAAGUCCUUGUGUUGCACCUCUUUUUGCCAAAAUUUCGUGUUCUUUUUGUUAAUUAGCGUAAUUUUACGUCGUUUUUGAAAAAUAAACUUCGAUUGUAUUUCAUUUUUUCCGUUAAUUUACGCUACCUAACACUCUAUUAGUUAAUUAAUUAGCGUAGUUUGACGUCUUUUUUGAAAAUAAAUUAGAAAUGCAUAUAUACAAUUACAACGCUUUACUCUCAGGUGCGAUCAUACCAGCACUAAUGCACCGGAUCCCAUCAGAACUCCGCAGUUAAGCGUGCUUGGGCGAGAGUAGUACUAGGAUGGGUGACCUCCUGGGAAGUCCUUGUGUUGCACCUCUUUUUGCCAAAAUUUCGUGUUCUUUUUGUUAAUUAGCGUAAUUUUACGUCGUUUUUGAAAAAUAAACUUCGAUUGUAUUUCAUUUUUUCCGUUAAUUUACGCUACCUAACACUCUAUUAGUUAAUUAAUUAGCGUAGUUUGACGUCUUUUUUGAAAAAUAAAUUAGAAAUGCAUAUAUACAAUUACAACGCUUUACUCUCAGGUGCGAUCAUACCAGCACUAAUGCACCGGAUCCCAUCAGAACUCCGCAGUUAAGCGUGCUUGGGCGAGAGUAGUACUAGGAUGGGUGACCUCCUGGGAAGUCCUUGUGUUGCACCUCUUUUUGCCAAAAUUUCGUGUUCUUUUUGUUAAUUAGCGUAAUUUUACGUCGUUUUUGAAAAAUAAACUUCGAUUGUAUUUCAUUUUUUCCGUUAAUUUACGCUACCUAACACUCUAUUAGUUAAUUAAUUAGCGUAGUUUGACGUCUUUUUUGAAAAAUAAAUUAGAAAUGCAUAUAUACAAUUACAACGCUUUACUCUCAGGUGCGAUCAUACCAGCACUAAUGCACCGGAUCCCAUCAGAACUCCGCAGUUAAGCGUGCUUGGGCGAGAGUAGUACUAGGAUGGGUGACCUCCUGGGAAGUCCUUGUGUUGCACCUCUUUUUGCCAAAAUUUCGUGUUCUUUUUGUUAAUUAGCGUAAUUUUACGUCGUUUUUGAAAAAUAAACUUCGAUUGUAUUUCAUUUUUUCCGUUAAUUUACGCUACCUAACACUCUAUUAGUUAAUUAAUUAGCGUAGUUUGACGUCUUUUUUGAAAAAUAAAUUAGAAUGCAUAUAUACAAUUACAACGCUUUACUCUCAGGUGCGAUCAUACCAGCACUAAUGCACCGGAUCCCAUCAGAACUCCGCAGUUAAGCGUGCUUGGGCGAGAGUAGUACUAGGAUGGGUGACCUCCUGGGAAGUCCUUGUGUUGCACCUCUUUUUGCCAAAAUUUCGUGUUCUUUUUGUUAAUUAGCGUAAUUUUACGUCGUUUUUGAAAAAUAAACUUCGAUUGUAUUUCAUUUUUUCCGUUAAUUUACGCUACCUAACACUCUAUUAGUUAAUUAAUUAGCGUAGUUUGACGUCUUUUUUGAAAAAUAAAUUAGAAAUGCAUAUAUACAAUUACAACGCUUUACUCUCAGGUGCGAUCAUACCAGCACUAAUGCACCGGAUCCCAUCAGAACUCCGCAGUUAAGCGUGCUUGGGCGAGAGUAGUACUAGGAUGGGUGACCUCCUGGGAAGUCCUUGUGUUGCACCUCUUUUUGCCAAAAUUUCGUGUUCUUUUUGUUAAUUAGCGUAAUUUUACGUCGUUUUUGAAAAAUAAACUUCGAUUGUAUUUCAUUUUUUCCGUUAAUUUACGCUACCUAACACUCUAUUAGUUAAUUAAUUAGCGUAGUUUGACGUCUUUUUUGAAAAAUAAAUUAGAAAUGCAUAUAUACAAUUACAACGCUUUACUCUCAGGUGCGAUCAUACCAGCACUAAUGCACCGGAUCCCAUCAGAACUCCGCAGUUAAGCGUGCUUGGGCGAGAGUAGUACUAGGAUGGGUGACCUCCUGGGAAGUCCUUGUGUUGCACCUCUUUUUGCCAAAAUUUCGUGUUCUUUUUGUUAAUUAGCGUAAUUUUACGUCGUUUUUGAAAAAUAAACUUCGAUUGUAUUUCAUUUUUUCCGUUAAUUUACGCUACCUAACACUCUAUUAGUUAAUUAAUUAGCGUAGUUUGACGUCUUUUUUGAAAAAUAAAUUAGAAAUGCAUAUAUACAAUUACAACGCUUUACUCUCAGGUGCGAUCAUACCAGCACUAAUGCACCGGAUCCCAUCAGAACUCCGCAGUUAAGCGUGCUUGGGCGAGAGUAGUACUAGGAUGGGUGACCUCCUGGGAAGUCCUUGUGUUGCACCUCUUUUUGCCAAAAUUUCGUGUUCUUUUUGUUAAUUAGCGUAAUUUUACGUCGUUUUUGAAAAAUAAACUUCGAUUGUAUUUCAUUUUUUCCGUUAAUUUACGCUACCUAACACUCUAUUAGUUAAUUAAUUAGCGUAGUUUGACGUCUUUUUUGAAAAAUAAAUUAGAAAUGCAUAUAUACAAUUACAACGCUUUACUCUCAGGUGCGAUCAUACCAGCACUAAUGCACCGGAUCCCAUCAGAACUCCGCAGUUAAGCGUGCUUGGGCGAGAGUAGUACUAGGAUGGGUGACCUCCUGGGAAGUCCUUGUGUUGCACCUCUUUUUGCCAAAAUUUCGUGUUCUUUUUGUUAAUUAGCGUAAUUUUACGUCGUUUUUGAAAAAUAAACUUCGAUUGUAUUUCAUUUUUUCCGUUAAUUUACGCUACCUAACACUCUAUUAGUUAAUUAAUUAGCGUAGUUUGACGUCUUUUUUGAAAAAUAAAUUAGAAAUGCAUAUAUACAAUUACAACGCUUUACUCUCAGGUGCGAUCAUACCAGCACUAAUGCACCGGAUCCCAUCAGAACUCCGCAGUUAAGCGUGCUUGGGCGAGAGUAGUACUAGGAUGGGUGACCUCCUGGGAAGUCCUUGUGUUGCACCUCUUUUUGCCAAAAUUUCGUGUUCUUUUUGUUAAUUAGCGUAAUUUUACGUCGUUUUUGAAAAAUAAACUUCGAUUGUAUUUCAUUUUUUCCGUUAAUUUACGCUACCUAACACUCUAUUAGUUAAUUAAUUAGCGUAGUUUGACGUCUUUUUUGAAAAAUAAAUUAGAAAUGCAUAUAUACAAUUACAACGCUUUACUCUCAGGUGCGAUCAUACCAGCACUAAUGCACCGGAUCCCAUCAGAACUCCGCAGUUAAGCGUGCUUGGGCGAGAGUAGUACUAGGAUGGGUGACCUCCUGGGAAGUCCUUGUGUUGCACCUCUUUUUGCCAAAAUUUCGUGUUCUUUUUGUUAAUUAGCGUAAUUUUACGUCGUUUUUGAAAAAUAAACUUCGAUUGUAUUUCAUUUUUUCCGUUAAUUUACGCUACCUAACACUCUAUUAGUUAAUUAAUUAGCGUAGUUUGACGUCUUUUUUGAAAAAUAAAUUAGAAAUGCAUAUAUACAAUUACAACGCUUUACUCUCAGGUGCGAUCAUACCAGCACUAAUGCACCGGAUCCCAUCAGAACUCCGCAGUUAAGCGUGCUUGGGCGAGAGUAGUACUAGGAUGGGUGACCUCCUGGGAAGUCCUUGUGUUGCACCUCUUUUUGCCAAAAUUUCGUGUUCUUUUUGUUAAUUAGCGUAAUUUUACGUCGUUUUUGAAAAAUAAACUUCGAUUGUAUUUCAUUUUUUCCGUUAAUUUACGCUACCUAACACUCUAUUAGUUAAUUAAUUAGCGUAGUUUGACGUCUUUUUUGAAAAAUAAAUUAGAAAUGCAUAUAUACAAUUACAACGCUUUACUCUCAGGUGCGAUCAUACCAGCACUAAUGCACCGGAUCCCAUCAGAACUCCGCAGUUAAGCGUGCUUGGGCGAGAGUAGUACUAGGAUGGGUGACCUCCUGGGAAGUCCUUGUGUUGCACCUCUUUUUGCCAAAAUUUCGUGUUCUUUUUGUUAAUUAGCGUAAUUUUACGUCGUUUUUGAAAAAUAAACUUCGAUUGUAUUUCAUUUUUUCCGUUAAUUUACGCUACCUAACACUCUAUUAGUUAAUUAAUUAGCGUAGUUUGACGUCUUUUUUGAAAAAUAAAUUAGAAAUGCAUAUAUACAAUUACAACGCUUUACUCUCAGGUGCGAUCAUACCAGCACUAAUGCACCGGAUCCCAUCAGAACUCCGCAGUUAAGCGUGCUUGGGCGAGAGUAGUACUAGGAUGGGUGACCUCCUGGGAAGUCCUUGUGUUGCACCUCUUUUUGCCAAAAUUUCGUGUUCUUUUUGUUAAUUAGCGUAAUUUUACGUCGUUUUUGAAAAAUAAACUUCGAUUGUAUUUCAUUUUUUCCGUUAAUUUACGCUACCUAACACUCUAUUAGUUAAUUAAUUAGCGUAGUUUGACGUCUUUUUUGAAAAAUAAAUUAGAAAUGCAUAUAUACAAUUACAACGCUUUACUCUCAGGUGCGAUCAUACCAGCACUAAUGCACCGGAUCCCAUCAGAACUCCGCAGUUAAGCGUGCUUGGGCGAGAGUAGUACUAGGAUGGGUGACCUCCUGGGAAGUCCUUGUGUUGCACCUCUUUUUGCCAAAAUUUCGUGUUCUUUUUGUUAAUUAGCGUAAUUUUACGUCGUUUUUGAAAAAUAAACUUCGAUUGUAUUUCAUUUUUUCCGUUAAUUUACGCUACCUAACACUCUAUUAGUUAAUUAAUUAGCGUAGUUUGACGUCUUUUUUGAAAAAUAAAUUAGAAAUGCAUAUAUACAAUUACAACGCUUUACUCUCAGGUGCGAUCAUACCAGCACUAAUGCACCGGAUCCCAUCAGAACUCCGCAGUUAAGCGUGCUUGGGCGAGAGUAGUACUAGGAUGGGUGACCUCCUGGGAAGUCCUUGUGUUGCACCUCUUUUUGCCAAAAUUUCGUGUUCUUUUUGUUAAUUAGCGUAAUUUUACGUCGUUUUUGAAAAAUAAACUUCGAUUGUAUUUCAUUUUUUCCGUUAAUUUACGCUACCUAACACUCUAUUAGUUAAUUAAUUAGCGUAGUUUGACGUCUUUUUUGAAAAAUAAAUUAGAAAUGCAUAUAUACAAUUACAACGCUUUACUCUCAGGUGCGAUCAUACCAGCACUAAUGCACCGGAUCCCAUCAGAACUCCGCAGUUAAGCGUGCUUGGGCGAGAGUAGUACUAGGAUGGGUGACCUCCUGGGAAGUCCUUGUGUUGCACCUCUUUUUGCCAAAAUUUCGUGUUCUUUUUGUUAAUUAGCGUAAUUUUACGUCGUUUUUGAAAAAUAAACUUCGAUUGUAUUUCAUUUUUUCCGUUAAUUUACGCUACCUAACACUCUAUUAGUUAAUUAAUUAGCGUAGUUUGACGUCUUUUUUGAAAAAUAAAUUAGAAAUGCAUAUAUACAAUUACAACGCUUUACUCUCAGGUGCGAUCAUACCAGCACUAAUGCACCGGAUCCCAUCAGAACUCCGCAGUUAAGCGUGCUUGGGCGAGAGUAGUACUAGGAUGGGUGACCUCCUGGGAAGUCCUUGUGUUGCACCUCUUUUUGCCAAAAUUUCGUGUUCUUUUUGUUAAUUAGCGUAAUUUUACGUCGUUUUUGAAAAAUAACUUCGAUUGUAUUUCAUUUUUUCCGUUAAUUUACGCUACCUAACACUCUAUUAGUUAAUUAAUUAGCGUAGUUUGACGUCUUUUUUGAAAAAUAAAUUAGAAAUGCAUAUAUACAAUUACAACGCUUUACUCUCAGGUGCGAUCAUACCAGCACUAAUGCACCGGAUCCCAUCAGAACUCCGCAGUUAAGCGUGCUUGGGCGAGAGUAGUACUAGGAUGGGUGACCUCCUGGGAAGUCCUUGUGUUGCACCUCUUUUUGCCAAAAUUUCGUGUUCUUUUUGUUAAUUAGCGUAAUUUUACGUCGUUUUUGAAAAAUAAACUUCGAUUGUAUUUCAUUUUUUCCGUUAAUUUACGCUACCUAACACUCUAUUAGUUAAUUAAUUAGCGUAGUUUGACGUCUUUUUUGAAAAAUAAAUUAGAAAUGCAUAUAUACAAUUACAACGCUUUACUCUCAGGUGCGAUCAUACCAGCACUAAUGCACCGGAUCCCAUCAGAACUCCGCAGUUAAGCGUGCUUGGGCGAGAGUAGUACUAGGAUGGGUGACCUCCUGGGAAGUCCUUGUGUUGCACCUCUUUUUGCCAAAAUUUCGUGUUCUUUUUGUUAAUUAGCGUAAUUUUACGUCGUUUUUGAAAAAUAAACUUCGAUUGUAUUUCAUUUUUCCGUUAAUUUACGCUACCUAACACUCUAUUAGUUAAUUAAUUAGCGUAGUUUGACGUCUUUUUUGAAAAAUAAAUUAGAAAUGCAUAUAUACAAUUACAACGCUUUACUCUCAGGUGCGAUCAUACCAGCACUAAUGCACCGGAUCCCAUCAGAACUCCGCAGUUAAGCGUGCUUGGGCGAGAGUAGUACUAGGAUGGGUGACCUCCUGGGAAGUCCUUGUGUUGCACCUCUUUUUGCCAAAAUUUCGUGUUCUUUUUGUUAAUUAGCGUAAUUUUACGUCGUUUUUGAAAAAUAAACUUCGAUUGUAUUUCAUUUUUUCCGUUAAUUUACGCUACCUAACACUCUAUUAGUUAAUUAAUUAGCGUAGUUUGACGUCUUUUUUGAAAAAUAAAUUAGAAAUGCAUAUAUACAAUUACAACGCUUUACUCUCAGGUGCGAUCAUACCAGCACUAAUGCACCGGAUCCCAUCAGAACUCCGCAGUUAAGCGUGCUUGGGCGAGAGUAGUACUAGGAUGGGUGACCUCCUGGGAAGUCCUUGUGUUGCACCUCUUUUUGCCAAAAUUUCGUGUUCUUUUUGUUAAUUAGCGUAAUUUUACGUCGUUUUUGAAAAAUAAACUUCGAUUGUAUUUCAUUUUUUCCGUUAAUUUACGCUACCUAACACUCUAUUAGUUAAUUAAUUAGCGUAGUUUGACGUCUUUUUUGAAAAAUAAAUUAGAAAUGCAUAUAUACAAUUACAACGCUUUACUCUCAGGUGCGAUCAUACCAGCACUAAUGCACCGGAUCCCAUCAGAACUCCGCAGUUAAGCGUGCUUGGGCGAGAGUAGUACUAGGAUGGGUGACCUCCUGGGAAGUCCUUGUGUUGCACCUCUUUUUGCCAAAAUUUCGUGUUCUUUUUGUUAAUUAGCGUAAUUUUACGUCGUUUUUGAAAAAUAAACUUCGAUUGUAUUUCAUUUUUUCCGUUAAUUUACGCUACCUAACACUCUAUUAGUUAAUUAAUUAGCGUAGUUUGACGUCUUUUUUGAAAAAUAAAUUAGAAAUGCAUAUAUACAAUUACAACGCUUUACUCUCAGGUGCGAUCAUACCAGCACUAAUGCACCGGAUCCCAUCAGAACUCCGCAGUUAAGCGUGCUUGGGCGAGAGUAGUACUAGGAUGGGUGACCUCCUGGGAAGUCCUUGUGUUGCACCUCUUUUUGCCAAAAUUUCGUGUUCUUUUGUUAAUUAGCGUAAUUUUACGUCGUUUUUGAAAAAUAAACUUCGAUUGUAUUUCAUUUUUUCCGUUAAUUUACGCUACCUAACACUCUAUUAGUUAAUUAAUUAGCGUAGUUUGACGUCUUUUUUGAAAAAUAAAUUAGAAAUGCAUAUAUACAAUUACAACGCUUUACUCUCAGGUGCGAUCAUACCAGCACUAAUGCACCGGAUCCCAUCAGAACUCCGCAGUUAAGCGUGCUUGGGCGAGAGUAGUACUAGGAUGGGUGACCUCCUGGGAAGUCCUUGUGUUGCACCUCUUUUUGCCAAAAUUUCGUGUUCUUUUUGUUAAUUAGCGUAAUUUUACGUCGUUUUUGAAAAAUAAACUUCGAUUGUAUUUCAUUUUUUCCGUUAAUUUACGCUACCUAACACUCUAUUAGUUAAUUAAUUAGCGUAGUUUGACGUCUUUUUUGAAAAAUAAAUUAGAAAUGCAUAUAUACAAUUACAACGCUUUACUCUCAGGUGCGAUCAUACCAGCACUAAUGCACCGGAUCCCAUCAGAACUCCGCAGUUAAGCGUGCUUGGGCGAGAGUAGUACUAGGAUGGGUGACCUCCUGGGAAGUCCUUGUGUUGCACCUCUUUUUGCCAAAAUUUCGUGUUCUUUUUGUUAAUUAGCGUAAUUUUACGUCGUUUUUGAAAAAUAAACUUCGAUUGUAUUUCAUUUUUUCCGUUAAUUUACGCUACCUAACACUCUAUUAGUUAAUUAAUUAGCGUAGUUUGACGUCUUUUUUGAAAAAUAAAUUAGAAAUGCAUAUAUACAAUUACAACGCUUUACUCUCAGGUGCGAUCAUACCAGCACUAAUGCACCGGAUCCCAUCAGAACUCCGCAGUUAAGCGUGCUUGGGCGAGAGUAGUACUAGGAUGGGUGACCUCCUGGGAAGUCCUUGUGUUGCACCUCUUUUUGCCAAAAUUUCGUGUUCUUUUUGUUAAUUAGCGUAAUUUUACGUCGUUUUUGAAAAAUAAACUUCGAUUGUAUUUCAUUUUUUCCGUUAAUUUACGCUACCUAACACUCUAUUAGUUAAUUAAUUAGCGUAGUUUGACGUCUUUUUUGAAAAAUAAAUUAGAAAUGCAUAUAUACAAUUACAACGCUUUACUCUCAGGUGCGAUCAUACCAGCACUAAUGCACCGGAUCCCAUCAGAACUCCGCAGUUAAGCGUGCUUGGGCGAGAGUAGUACUAGGAUGGGUGACCUCCUGGGAAGUCCUUGUGUUGCACCUCUUUUUGCCAAAAUUUCGUGUUCUUUUUGUUAAUUAGCGUAAUUUUACGUCGUUUUUGAAAAAUAAACUUCGAUUGUAUUUCAUUUUUUCCGUUAAUUUACGCUACCUAACACUCUAUUAGUUAAUUAAUUAGCGUAGUUUGACGUCUUUUUUGAAAAAUAAAUUAGAAAUGCAUAUAUACAAUUACAACGCUUUACUCUCAGGUGCGAUCAUACCAGCACUAAUGCACCGGAUCCCAUCAGAACUCCGCAGUUAAGCGUGCUUGGGCGAGAGUAGUACUAGGAUGGGUGACCUCCUGGGAAGUCCUUGUGUUGCACCUCUUUUUGCCAAAAUUUCGUGUUCUUUUUGUUAAUUAGCGUAAUUUUACGUCGUUUUUGAAAAAUAAACUUCGAUUGUAUUUCAUUUUUUCCGUUAAUUUACGCUACCUAACACUCUAUUAGUUAAUUAAUUAGCGUAGUUUGACGUCUUUUUUGAAAAAUAAAUUAGAAAUGCAUAUAUACAAUUACAACGCUUUACUCUCAGGUGCGAUCAUACCAGCACUAAUGCACCGGAUCCCAUCAGAACUCCGCAGUUAAGCGUGCUUGGGCGAGAGUAGUACUAGGAUGGGUGACCUCCUGGGAAGUCCUUGUGUUGCACCUCUUUUUGCCAAAAUUUCGUGUUCUUUUUGUUAAUUAGCGUAAUUUUACGUCGUUUUUGAAAAAUAAACUUCGAUUGUAUUUCAUUUUUUCCGUUAAUUUACGCUACCUAACACUCUAUUAGUUAAUUAAUUAGCGUAGUUUGACGUCUUUUUUGAAAAAUAAAUUAGAAAUGCAUAUAUACAAUUACAACGCUUUACUCUCAGGUGCGAUCAUACCAGCACUAAUGCACCGGAUCCCAUCAGAACUCCGCAGUUAAGCGUGCUUGGGCGAGAGUAGUACUAGGAUGGGUGACCUCCUGGGAAGUCCUUGUGUUGCACCUCUUUUUGCCAAAAUUUCGUGUUCUUUUUGUUAAUUAGCGUAAUUUUACGUCGUUUUUGAAAAAUAAACUUCGAUUGUAUUUCAUUUUUUCCGUUAAUUUACGCUACCUAACACUCUAUUAGUUAAUUAAUUAGCGUAGUUUGACGUCUUUUUUGAAAAAUAAAUUAGAAAUGCAUAUAUACAAUUACAACGCUUUACUCUCAGGUGCGAUCAUACCAGCACUAAUGCACCGGAUCCCAUCAGAACUCCGCAGUUAAGCGUGCUUGGGCGAGAGUAGUACUAGGAUGGGUGACCUCCUGGGAAGUCCUUGUGUUGCACCUCUUUUUGCCAAAAUUUCGUGUUCUUUUUGUUAAUUAGCGUAAUUUUACGUCGUUUUUGAAAAAUAAACUUCGAUUGUAUUUCAUUUUUUCCGUUAAUUUACGCUACCUAACACUCUAUUAGUUAAUUAAUUAGCGUAGUUUGACGUCUUUUUUGAAAAAUAAAUUAGAAAUGCAUAUAUACAAUUACAACGCUUUACUCUCAGGUGCGAUCAUACCAGCACUAAUGCACCGGAUCCCAUCAGAACUCCGCAGUUAAGCGUGCUUGGGCGAGAGUAGUACUAGGAUGGGUGACCUCCUGGGAAGUCCUUGUGUUGCACCUCUUUUUGCCAAAAUUUCGUGUUCUUUUUGUUAAUUAGCGUAAUUUUACGUCGUUUUUGAAAAAUAAACUUCGAUUGUAUUUCAUUUUUUCCGUUAAUUUACGCUACCUAACACUCUAUUAGUUAAUUAAUUAGCGUAGUUUGACGUCUUUUUUGAAAAAUAAAUUAGAAAUGCAUAUAUACAAUUACAACGCUUUACUCUCAGGUGCGAUCAUACCAGCACUAAUGCACCGGAUCCCAUCAGAACUCCGCAGUUAAGCGUGCUUGGGCGAGAGUAGUACUAGGAUGGGUGACCUCCUGGGAAGUCCUUGUGUUGCACCUCUUUUUGCCAAAAUUUCGUGUUCUUUUUGUUAAUUAGCGUAAUUUUACGUCGUUUUUGAAAAAUAAACUUCGAUUGUAUUUCAUUUUUUCCGUUAAUUUACGCUACCUAACACUCUAUUAGUUAAUUAAUUAGCGUAGUUUGACGUCUUUUUUGAAAAAUAAAUUAGAAAUGCAUAUAUACAAUUACAACGCUUUACUCUCAGGUGCGAUCAUACCAGCACUAAUGCACCGGAUCCCAUCAGAACUCCGCAGUUAAGCGUGCUUGGGCGAGAGUAGUACUAGGAUGGGUGACCUCCUGGGAAGUCCUUGUGUUGCACCUCUUUUUGCCAAAAUUUCGUGUUCUUUUUGUUAAUUAGCGUAAUUUUACGUCGUUUUUGAAAAAUAAACUUCGAUUGUAUUUCAUUUUUUCCGUUAAUUUACGCUACCUAACACUCUAUUAGUUAAUUAAUUAGCGUAGUUUGACGUCUUUUUUGAAAAAUAAAUUAGAAAUGCAUAUAUACAAUUACAACGCUUUACUCUCAGGUGCGAUCAUACCAGCACUAAUGCACCGGAUCCCAUCAGAACUCCGCAGUUAAGCGUGCUUGGGCGAGAGUAGUACUAGGAUGGGUGACCUCCUGGGAAGUCCUUGUGUUGCACCUCUUUUUGCCAAAAUUUCGUGUUCUUUUUGUUAAUUAGCGUAAUUUUACGUCGUUUUUGAAAAAUAAACUUCGAUUGUAUUUCAUUUUUUCCGUUAAUUUACGCUACCUAACACUCUAUUAGUUAAUUAAUUAGCGUAGUUUGACGUCUUUUUUGAAAAAUAAAUUAGAAAUGCAUAUAUACAAUUACAACGCUUUACUCUCAGGUGCGAUCAUACCAGCACUAAUGCACCGGAUCCCAUCAGAACUCCGCAGUUAAGCGUGCUUGGGCGAGAGUAGUACUAGGAUGGGUGACCUCCUGGGAAGUCCUUGUGUUGCACCUCUUUUUGCCAAAAUUUCGUGUUCUUUUUGUUAAUUAGCGUAAUUUUACGUCGUUUUUGAAAAAUAAACUUCGAUUGUAUUUCAUUUUUUCCGUUAAUUUACGCUACCUAACACUCUAUUAGUUAAUUAAUUAGCGUAGUUUGACGUCUUUUUUGAAAAAUAAAUUAGAAAUGCAUAUAUACAAUUACAACGCUUUACUCUCAGGUGCGAUCAUACCAGCACUAAUGCACCGGAUCCCAUCAGAACUCCGCAGUUAAGCGUGCUUGGGCGAGAGUAGUACUAGGAUGGGUGACCUCCUGGGAAGUCCUUGUGUUGCACCUCUUUUUGCCAAAAUUUCGUGUUCUUUUUGUUAAUUAGCGUAAUUUUACGUCGUUUUUGAAAAAUAAACUUCGAUUGUAUUUCAUUUUUUCCGUUAAUUUACGCUACCUAACACUCUAUUAGUUAAUUAAUUAGCGUAGUUUGACGUCUUUUUUGAAAAAUAAAUUAGAAAUGCAUAUAUACAAUUACAACGCUUUACUCUCAGGUGCGAUCAUACCAGCACUAAUGCACCGGAUCCCAUCAGAACUCCGCAGUUAAGCGUGCUUGGGCGAGAGUAGUACUAGGAUGGGUGACCUCCUGGGAAGUCCUUGUGUUGCACCUCUUUUUGCCAAAAUUUCGUGUUCUUUUUGUUAAUUAGCGUAAUUUUACGUCGUUUUUGAAAAAUAAACUUCGAUUGUAUUUCAUUUUUUCCGUUAAUUUACGCUACCUAACACUCUAUUAGUUAAUUAAUUAGCGUAGUUUGACGUCUUUUUUGAAAAAUAAAUUAGAAAUGCAUAUAUACAAUUACAACGCUUUACUCUCAGGUGCGAUCAUACCAGCACUAAUGCACCGGAUCCCAUCAGAACUCCGCAGUUAAGCGUGCUUGGGCGAGAGUAGUACUAGGAUGGGUGACCUCCUGGGAAGUCCUUGUGUUGCACCUCUUUUUGCCAAAAUUUCGUGUUCUUUUUGUUAAUUAGCGUAAUUUUACGUCGUUUUUGAAAAAUAAACUUCGAUUGUAUUUCAUUUUUUCCGUUAAUUUACGCUACCUAACACUCUAUUAGUUAAUUAAUUAGCGUAGUUUGACGUCUUUUUUGAAAAAUAAAUUAGAAAUGCAUAUAUACAAUUACAACGCUUUACUCUCAGGUGCGAUCAUACCAGCACUAAUGCACCGGAUCCCAUCAGAACUCCGCAGUUAAGCGUGCUUGGGCGAGAGUAGUACUAGGAUGGGUGACCUCCUGGGAAGUCCUUGUGUUGCACCUCUUUUUGCCAAAAUUUCGUGUUCUUUUUGUUAAUUAGCGUAAUUUUACGUCGUUUUUGAAAAAUAAACUUCGAUUGUAUUUCAUUUUUUCCGUUAAUUUACGCUACCUAACACUCUAUUAGUUAAUUAAUUAGCGUAGUUUGACGUCUUUUUUGAAAAAUAAAUUAGAAAUGCAUAUAUACAAUUACAACGCUUUACUCUCAGGUGCGAUCAUACCAGCACUAAUGCACCGGAUCCCAUCAGAACUCCGCAGUUAAGCGUGCUUGGGCGAGAGUAGUACUAGGAUGGGUGACCUCCUGGGAAGUCCUUGUGUUGCACCUCUUUUUGCCAAAAUUUCGUGUUCUUUUUGUUAAUUAGCGUAAUUUUACGUCGUUUUUGAAAAAUAAACUUCGAUUGUAUUUCAUUUUUUCCGUUAAUUUACGCUACCUAACACUCUAUUAGUUAAUUAAUUAGCGUAGUUUGACGUCUUUUUUGAAAAAUAAAUUAGAAAUGCAUAUAUACAAUUACAACGCUUUACUCUCAGGUGCGAUCAUACCAGCACUAAUGCACCGGAUCCCAUCAGAACUCCGCAGUUAAGCGUGCUUGGGCGAGAGUAGUACUAGGAUGGGUGACCUCCUGGGAAGUCCUUGUGUUGCACCUCUUUUUGCCAAAAUUUCGUGUUCUUUUUGUUAAUUAGCGUAAUUUUACGUCGUUUUUGAAAAAUAAACUUCGAUUGUAUUUCAUUUUUUCCGUUAAUUUACGCUACCUAACACUCUAUUAGUUAAUUAAUUAGCGUAGUUUGACGUCUUUUUUGAAAAAUAAAUUAGAAAUGCAUAUAUACAAUUACAACGCUUUACUCUCAGGUGCGAUCAUACCAGCACUAAUGCACCGGAUCCCAUCAGAACUCCGCAGUUAAGCGUGCUUGGGCGAGAGUAGUACUAGGAUGGGUGACCUCCUGGGAAGUCCUUGUGUUGCACCUCUUUUUGCCAAAAUUUCGUGUUCUUUUUGUUAAUUAGCGUAAUUUUACGUCGUUUUUGAAAAAUAAACUUCGAUUGUAUUUCAUUUUUUCCGUUAAUUUACGCUACCUAACACUCUAUUAGUUAAUUAAUUAGCGUAGUUUGACGUCUUUUUUGAAAAAUAAAUUAGAAAUGCAUAUAUACAAUUACAACGCUUUACUCUCAGGUGCGAUCAUACCAGCACUAAUGCACCGGAUCCCAUCAGAACUCCGCAGUUAAGCGUGCUUGGGCGAGAGUAGUACUAGGAUGGGUGACCUCCUGGGAAGUCCUUGUGUUGCACCUCUUUUUGCCAAAAUUUCGUGUUCUUUUUGUUAAUUAGCGUAAUUUUACGUCGUUUUUGAAAAAUAAACUUCGAUUGUAUUUCAUUUUUUCCGUUAAUUUACGCUACCUAACACUCUAUUAGUUAAUUAAUUAGCGUAGUUUGACGUCUUUUUUGAAAAAUAAAUUAGAAAUGCAUAUAUACAAUUACAACGCUUUACUCUCAGGUGCGAUCAUACCAGCACUAAUGCACCGGAUCCCAUCAGAACUCCGCAGUUAAGCGUGCUUGGGCGAGAGUAGUACUAGGAUGGGUGACCUCCUGGGAAGUCCUUGUGUUGCACCUCUUUUUGCCAAAAUUUCGUGUUCUUUUUGUUAAUUAGCGUAAUUUUACGUCGUUUUUGAAAAAUAAACUUCGAUUGUAUUUCAUUUUUUCCGUUAAUUUACGCUACCUAACACUCUAUUAGUUAAUUAAUUAGCGUAGUUUGACGUCUUUUUUGAAAAAUAAAUUAGAAAUGCAUAUAUACAAUUACAACGCUUUACUCUCAGGUGCGAUCAUACCAGCACUAAUGCACCGGAUCCCAUCAGAACUCCGCAGUUAAGCGUGCUUGGGCGAGAGUAGUACUAGGAUGGGUGACCUCCUGGGAAGUCCUUGUGUUGCACCUCUUUUUGCCAAAAUUUCGUGUUCUUUUUGUUAAUUAGCGUAAUUUUACGUCGUUUUUGAAAAAUAAACUUCGAUUGUAUUUCAUUUUUUCCGUUAAUUUACGCUACCUAACACUCUAUUAGUUAAUUAAUUAGCGUAGUUUGACGUCUUUUUUGAAAAAUAAAUUAGAAAUGCAUAUAUACAAUUACAACGCUUUACUCUCAGGUGCGAUCAUACCAGCACUAAUGCACCGGAUCCCAUCAGAACUCCGCAGUUAAGCGUGCUUGGGCGAGAGUAGUACUAGGAUGGGUGACCUCCUGGGAAGUCCUUGUGUUGCACCUCUUUUUGCCAAAAUUUCGUGUUCUUUUGUUAAUUAGCGUAAUUUUACGUCGUUUUUGAAAAAUAAACUUCGAUUGUAUUUCAUUUUUUCCGUUAAUUUACGCUACCUAACACUCUAUUAGUUAAUUAAUUAGCGUAGUUUGACGUCUUUUUUGAAAAAUAAAUUAGAAAUGCAUAUAUACAAUUACAACGCUUUACUCUCAGGUGCGAUCAUACCAGCACUAAUGCACCGGAUCCCAUCAGAACUCCGCAGUUAAGCGUGCUUGGGCGAGAGUAGUACUAGGAUGGGUGACCUCCUGGGAAGUCCUUGUGUUGCACCUCUUUUGCCAAAAUUUCGUGUUCUUUUUGUUAAUUAGCGUAAUUUUACGUCGUUUUUGAAAAAUAAACUUCGAUUGUAUUUCAUUUUUUCCGUUAAUUUACGCUACCUAACACUCUAUUAGUUAAUUAAUUAGCGUAGUUUGACGUCUUUUUUGAAAAAUAAAUUAGAAAUGCAUAUAUACAAUUACAACGCUUUACUCUCAGGUGCGAUCAUACCAGCACUAAUGCACCGGAUCCCAUCAGAACUCCGCAGUUAAGCGUGCUUGGGCGAGAGUAGUACUAGGAUGGGUGACCUCCUGGGAAGUCCUUGUGUUGCACCUCUUUUUGCCAAAAUUUCGUGUUCUUUUUGUUAAUUAGCGUAAUUUUACGUCGUUUUUGAAAAAUAAACUUCGAUUGUAUUUCAUUUUUUCCGUUAAUUUACGCUACCUAACACUCUAUUAGUUAAUUAAUUAGCGUAGUUUGACGUCUUUUUUGAAAAAUAAAUUAGAAAUGCAUAUAUACAAUUACAACGCUUUACUCUCAGGUGCGAUCAUACCAGCACUAAUGCACCGGAUCCCAUCAGAACUCCGCAGUUAAGCGUGCUUGGGCGAGAGUAGUACUAGAUGGGUGACCUCCUGGGAAGUCCUUGUGUUGCACCUCUUUUUGCCAAAAUUUCGUGUUCUUUUUGUUAAUUAGCGUAAUUUUACGUCGUUUUUGAAAAAUAAACUUCGAUUGUAUUUCAUUUUUUCCGUUAAUUUACGCUACCUAACACUCUAUUAGUUAAUUAAUUAGCGUAGUUUGACGUCUUUUUUGAAAAAUAAAUUAGAAAUGCAUAUAUACAAUUACAACGCUUUACUCUCAGGUGCGAUCAUACCAGCACUAAUGCACCGGAUCCCAUCAGAACUCCGCAGUUAAGCGUGCUUGGGCGAGAGUAGUACUAGGAUGGGUGACCUCCUGGGAAGUCCUUGUGUUGCACCUCUUUUUGCCAAAAUUUCGUGUUCUUUUUGUUAAUUAGCGUAAUUUUACGUCGUUUUUGAAAAAUAAACUUCGAUUGUAUUUCAUUUUUUCCGUUAAUUUACGCUACCUAACACUCUAUUAGUUAAUUAAUUAGCGUAGUUUGACGUCUUUUUUGAAAAAUAAAUUAGAAAUGCAUAUAUACAAUUACAACGCUUUACUCUCAGGUGCGAUCAUACCAGCACUAAUGCACCGGAUCCCAUCAGAACUCCGCAGUUAAGCGUGCUUGGGCGAGAGUAGUACUAGGAUGGGUGACCUCCUGGGAAGUCCUUGUGUUGCACCUCUUUUUGCCAAAAUUUCGUGUUCUUUUUGUUAAUUAGCGUAAUUUUACGUCGUUUUUGAAAAAUAAACUUCGAUUGUAUUUCAUUUUUUCCGUUAAUUUACGCUACCUAACACUCUAUUAGUUAAUUAAUUAGCGUAGUUUGACGUCUUUUUUGAAAAAUAAAUUAGAAAUGCAUAUAUACAAUUACAACGCUUUACUCUCAGGUGCGAUCAUACCAGCACUAAUGCACCGGAUCCCAUCAGAACUCCGCAGUUAAGCGUGCUUGGGCGAGAGUAGUACUAGGAUGGGUGACCUCCUGGGAAGUCCUUGUGUUGCACCUCUUUUUGCCAAAAUUUCGUGUUCUUUUUGUUAAUUAGCGUAAUUUUACGUCGUUUUUGAAAAAUAAACUUCGAUUGUAUUUCAUUUUUUCCGUUAAUUUACGCUACCUAACACUCUAUUAGUUAAUUAAUUAGCGUAGUUUGACGUCUUUUUUGAAAAAUAAAUUAGAAAUGCAUAUAUACAAUUACAACGCUUUACUCUCAGGUGCGAUCAUACCAGCACUAAUGCACCGGAUCCCAUCAGAACUCCGCAGUUAAGCGUGCUUGGGCGAGAGUAGUACUAGGAUGGGUGACCUCCUGGGAAGUCCUUGUGUUGCACCUCUUUUUGCCAAAAUUUCGUGUUCUUUUUGUUAAUUAGCGUAAUUUUACGUCGUUUUUGAAAAAUAAACUUCGAUUGUAUUUCAUUUUUUCCGUUAAUUUACGCUACCUAACACUCUAUUAGUUAAUUAAUUAGCGUAGUUUGACGUCUUUUUUGAAAAAUAAAUUAGAAAUGCAUAUAUACAAUUACAACGCUUUACUCUCAGGUGCGAUCAUACCAGCACUAAUGCACCGGAUCCCAUCAGAACUCCGCAGUUAAGCGUGCUUGGGCGAGAGUAGUACUAGGAUGGGUGACCUCCUGGGAAGUCCUUGUGUUGCACCUCUUUUUGCCAAAAUUUCGUGUUCUUUUUGUUAAUUAGCGUAAUUUUACGUCGUUUUUGAAAAAUAAACUUCGAUUGUAUUUCAUUUUUUCCGUUAAUUUACGCUACCUAACACUCUAUUAGUUAAUUAAUUAGCGUAGUUUGACGUCUUUUUUGAAAAAUAAAUUAGAAAUGCAUAUAUACAAUUACAACGCUUUACUCUCAGGUGCGAUCAUACCAGCACUAAUGCACCGGAUCCCAUCAGAACUCCGCAGUUAAGCGUGCUUGGGCGAGAGUAGUACUAGGAUGGGUGACCUCCUGGGAAGUCCUUGUGUUGCACCUCUUUUUGCCAAAAUUUCGUGUUCUUUUUGUUAAUUAGCGUAAUUUUACGUCGUUUUUGAAAAAUAAACUUCGAUUGUAUUUCAUUUUUUCCGUUAAUUUACGCUACCUAACACUCUAUUAGUUAAUUAAUUAGCGUAGUUUGACGUCUUUUUUGAAAAAUAAAUUAGAAAUGCAUAUAUACAAUUACAACGCUUUACUCUCAGGUGCGAUCAUACCAGCACUAAUGCACCGGAUCCCAUCAGAACUCCGCAGUUAAGCGUGCUUGGGCGAGAGUAGUACUAGGAUGGGUGACCUCCUGGGAAGUCCUUGUGUUGCACCUCUUUUUGCCAAAAUUUCGUGUUCUUUUUGUUAAUUAGCGUAAUUUUACGUCGUUUUUGAAAAAUAAACUUCGAUUGUAUUUCAUUUUUUCCGUUAAUUUACGCUACCUAACACUCUAUUAGUUAAUUAAUUAGCGUAGUUUGACGUCUUUUUUGAAAAAUAAAUUAGAAAUGCAUAUAUACAAUUACAACGCUUUACUCUCAGGUGCGAUCAUACCAGCACUAAUGCACCGGAUCCCAUCAGAACUCCGCAGUUAAGCGUGCUUGGGCGAGAGUAGUACUAGGAUGGGUGACCUCCUGGGAAGUCCUUGUGUUGCACCUCUUUUUGCCAAAAUUUCGUGUUCUUUUUGUUAAUUAGCGUAAUUUUACGUCGUUUUUGAAAAAUAAACUUCGAUUGUAUUUCAUUUUUUCCGUUAAUUUACGCUACCUAACACUCUAUUAGUUAAUUAAUUAGCGUAGUUUGACGUCUUUUUUGAAAAAUAAAUUAGAAAUGCAUAUAUACAAUUACAACGCUUUACUCUCAGGUGCGAUCAUACCAGCACUAAUGCACCGGAUCCCAUCAGAACUCCGCAGUUAAGCGUGCUUGGGCGAGAGUAGUACUAGGAUGGGUGACCUCCUGGGAAGUCCUUGUGUUGCACCUCUUUUUGCCAAAAUUUCGUGUUCUUUUUGUUAAUUAGCGUAAUUUUACGUCGUUUUUGAAAAAUAAACUUCGAUUGUAUUUCAUUUUUUCCGUUAAUUUACGCUACCUAACACUCUAUUAGUUAAUUAAUUAGCGUAGUUUGACGUCUUUUUUGAAAAAUAAAUUAGAAAUGCAUAUAUACAAUUACAACGCUUUACUCUCAGGUGCGAUCAUACCAGCACUAAUGCACCGGAUCCCAUCAGAACUCCGCAGUUAAGCGUGCUUGGGCGAGAGUAGUACUAGGAUGGGUGACCUCCUGGGAAGUCCUUGUGUUGCACCUCUUUUUGCCAAAAUUUCGUGUUCUUUUUGUUAAUUAGCGUAAUUUUACGUCGUUUUUGAAAAAUAAACUUCGAUUGUAUUUCAUUUUUUCCGUUAAUUUACGCUACCUAACACUCUAUUAGUUAAUUAAUUAGCGUAGUUUGACGUCUUUUUUGAAAAAUAAAUUAGAAAUGCAUAUAUACAAUUACAACGCUUUACUCUCAGGUGCGAUCAUACCAGCACUAAUGCACCGGAUCCCAUCAGAACUCCGCAGUUAAGCGUGCUUGGGCGAGAGUAGUACUAGGAUGGGUGACCUCCUGGGAAGUCCUUGUGUUGCACCUCUUUUUGCCAAAAUUUCGUGUUCUUUUUGUUAAUUAGCGUAAUUUUACGUCGUUUUUGAAAAAUAAACUUCGAUUGUAUUUCAUUUUUUCCGUUAAUUUACGCUACCUAACACUCUAUUAGUUAAUUAAUUAGCGUAGUUUGACGUCUUUUUUGAAAAAUAAAUUAGAAAUGCAUAUAUACAAUUACAACGCUUUACUCUCAGGUGCGAUCAUACCAGCACUAAUGCACCGGAUCCCAUCAGAACUCCGCAGUUAAGCGUGCUUGGGCGAGAGUAGUACUAGGAUGGGUGACCUCCUGGGAAGUCCUUGUGUUGCACCUCUUUUUGCCAAAAUUUCGUGUUCUUUUUGUUAAUUAGCGUAAUUUUACGUCGUUUUUGAAAAAUAAACUUCGAUUGUAUUUCAUUUUUUCCGUUAAUUUACGCUACCUAACACUCUAUUAGUUAAUUAAUUAGCGUAGUUUGACGUCUUUUUUGAAAAAUAAAUUAGAAAUGCAUAUAUACAAUUACAACGCUUUACUCUCAGGUGCGAUCAUACCAGCACUAAUGCACCGGAUCCCAUCAGAACUCCGCAGUUAAGCGUGCUUGGGCGAGAGUAGUACUAGGAUGGGUGACCUCCUGGGAAGUCCUUGUGUUGCACCUCUUUUUGCCAAAAUUUCGUGUUCUUUUUGUUAAUUAGCGUAAUUUUACGUCGUUUUUGAAAAAUAAACUUCGAUUGUAUUUCAUUUUUUCCGUUAAUUUACGCUACCUAACACUCUAUUAGUUAAUUAAUUAGCGUAGUUUGACGUCUUUUUUGAAAAAUAAAUUAGAAAUGCAUAUAUACAAUUACAACGCUUUACUCUCAGGUGCGAUCAUACCAGCACUAAUGCACCGGAUCCCAUCAGAACUCCGCAGUUAAGCGUGCUUGGGCGAGAGUAGUACUAGGAUGGGUGACCUCCUGGGAAGUCCUUGUGUUGCACCUCUUUUUGCCAAAAUUUCGUGUUCUUUUUGUUAAUUAGCGUAAUUUUACGUCGUUUUUGAAAAAUAAACUUCGAUUGUAUUUCAUUUUUUCCGUUAAUUUACGCUACCUAACACUCUAUUAGUUAAUUAAUUAGCGUAGUUUGACGUCUUUUUUGAAAAAUAAAUUAGAAAUGCAUAUAUACAAUUACAACGCUUUACUCUCAGGUGCGAUCAUACCAGCACUAAUGCACCGGAUCCCAUCAGAACUCCGCAGUUAAGCGUGCUUGGGCGAGAGUAGUACUAGGAUGGGUGACCUCCUGGGAAGUCCUUGUGUUGCACCUCUUUUUGCCAAAAUUUCGUGUUCUUUUUGUUAAUUAGCGUAAUUUUACGUCGUUUUUGAAAAAUAAACUUCGAUUGUAUUUCAUUUUUUCCGUUAAUUUACGCUACCUAACACUCUAUUAGUUAAUUAAUUAGCGUAGUUUGACGUCUUUUUUGAAAAAUAAAUUAGAAAUGCAUAUAUACAAUUACAACGCUUUACUCUCAGGUGCGAUCAUACCAGCACUAAUGCACCGGAUCCCAUCAGAACUCCGCAGUUAAGCGUGCUUGGGCGAGAGUAGUACUAGGAUGGGUGACCUCCUGGGAAGUCCUUGUGUUGCACCUCUUUUUGCCAAAAUUUCGUGUUCUUUUUGUUAAUUAGCGUAAUUUUACGUCGUUUUUGAAAAAUAAACUUCGAUUGUAUUUCAUUUUUUCCGUUAAUUUACGCUACCUAACACUCUAUUAGUUAAUUAAUUAGCGUAGUUUGACGUCUUUUUUGAAAAAUAAAUUAGAAAUGCAUAUAUACAAUUACAACGCUUUACUCUCAGGUGCGAUCAUACCAGCACUAAUGCACCGGAUCCCAUCAGAACUCCGCAGUUAAGCGUGCUUGGGCGAGAGUAGUACUAGGAUGGGUGACCUCCUGGGAAGUCCUUGUGUUGCACCUCUUUUUGCCAAAAUUUCGUGUUCUUUUUGUUAAUUAGCGUAAUUUUACGUCGUUUUUGAAAAAUAAACUUCGAUUGUAUUUCAUUUUUUCCGUUAAUUUACGCUACCUAACACUCUAUUAGUUAAUUAAUUAGCGUAGUUUGACGUCUUUUUUGAAAAAUAAAUUAGAAAUGCAUAUAUACAAUUACAACGCUUUACUCUCAGGUGCGAUCAUACCAGCACUAAUGCACCGGAUCCCAUCAGAACUCCGCAGUUAAGCGUGCUUGGGCGAGAGUAGUACUAGGAUGGGUGACCUCCUGGGAAGUCCUUGUGUUGCACCUCUUUUUGCCAAAAUUUCGUGUUCUUUUUGUUAAUUAGCGUAAUUUUACGUCGUUUUUGAAAAAUAAACUUCGAUUGUAUUUCAUUUUUUCCGUUAAUUUACGCUACCUAACACUCUAUUAGUUAAUUAAUUAGCGUAGUUUGACGUCUUUUUUGAAAAAUAAAUUAGAAAUGCAUAUAUACAAUUACAACGCUUUACUCUCAGGUGCGAUCAUACCAGCACUAAUGCACCGGAUCCCAUCAGAACUCCGCAGUUAAGCGUGCUUGGGCGAGAGUAGUACUAGGAUGGGUGACCUCCUGGGAAGUCCUUGUGUUGCACCUCUUUUUGCCAAAAUUUCGUGUUCUUUUUGUUAAUUAGCGUAAUUUUACGUCGUUUUUGAAAAAUAAACUUCGAUUGUAUUUCAUUUUUUCCGUUAAUUUACGCUACCUAACACUCUAUUAGUUAAUUAAUUAGCGUAGUUUGACGUCUUUUUUGAAAAAUAAAUUAGAAAUGCAUAUAUACAAUUACAACGCUUUACUCUCAGGUGCGAUCAUACCAGCACUAAUGCACCGGAUCCCAUCAGAACUCCGCAGUUAAGCGUGCUUGGGCGAGAGUAGUACUAGGAUGGGUGACCUCCUGGGAAGUCCUUGUGUUGCACCUCUUUUUGCCAAAAUUUCGUGUUCUUUUUGUUAAUUAGCGUAAUUUUACGUCGUUUUUGAAAAAUAAACUUCGAUUGUAUUUCAUUUUUUCCGUUAAUUUACGCUACCUAACACUCUAUUAGUUAAUUAAUUAGCGUAGUUUGACGUCUUUUUUGAAAAAUAAAUUAGAAAUGCAUAUAUACAAUUACAACGCUUUACUCUCAGGUGCGAUCAUACCAGCACUAAUGCACCGGAUCCCAUCAGAACUCCGCAGUUAAGCGUGCUUGGGCGAGAGUAGUACUAGGAUGGGUGACCUCCUGGGAAGUCCUUGUGUUGCACCUCUUUUUGCCAAAAUUUCGUGUUCUUUUUGUUAAUUAGCGUAAUUUUACGUCGUUUUUGAAAAAUAAACUUCGAUUGUAUUUCAUUUUUUCCGUUAAUUUACGCUACCUAACACUCUAUUAGUUAAUUAAUUAGCGUAGUUUGACGUCUUUUUUGAAAAAUAAAUUAGAAAUGCAUAUAUACAAUUACAACGCUUUACUCUCAGGUGCGAUCAUACCAGCACUAAUGCACCGGAUCCCAUCAGAACUCCGCAGUUAAGCGUGCUUGGGCGAGAGUAGUACUAGGAUGGGUGACCUCCUGGGAAGUCCUUGUGUUGCACCUCUUUUUGCCAAAAUUUCGUGUUCUUUUUGUUAAUUAGCGUAAUUUUACGUCGUUUUUGAAAAAUAAACUUCGAUUGUAUUUCAUUUUUUCCGUUAAUUUACGCUACCUAACACUCUAUUAGUUAAUUAAUUAGCGUAGUUUGACGUCUUUUUUGAAAAAUAAAUUAGAAAUGCAUAUAUACAAUUACAACGCUUUACUCUCAGGUGCGAUCAUACCAGCACUAAUGCACCGGAUCCCAUCAGAACUCCGCAGUUAAGCGUGCUUGGGCGAGAGUAGUACUAGGAUGGGUGACCUCCUGGGAAGUCCUUGUGUUGCACCUCUUUUUGCCAAAAUUUCGUGUUCUUUUUGUUAAUUAGCGUAAUUUUACGUCGUUUCCGUUAAUUUACGCUACCUAACACUCUAUUAGUUAAUUAAUUAGCGUAGUUUGACGUCUUUUUUGAAAAAUAAAUUAGAAAUGCAUAUAUACAAUUACAACGCUUUACUCUCAGGUGCGAUCAUACCAGCACUAAUGCACCGGAUCCCAUCAGAACUCCGCAGUUAAGCGUGCUUGGGCGAGAGUAGUACUAGGAUGGGUGACCUCCUGGGAAGUCCUUGUGUUGCACCUCUUUUUGCCAAAAUUUCGUGUUCUUUUUGUUAAUUAGCGUAAUUUUACGUCGUUUUUCCGUUAAUUUUUCUUAUUUACGCUACCUAACACUCUAUUAGUUAAUUAAUUAGCGUAGUUUGACGUCUUUUUUGAAAAAUAAAUUAGAAAUGCAUAUAUACAAUUACAACGCUUUACUCUCAGGUGCGAUCAUACCAGCACUAAUGCACCGGAUCCCAUCAGAACUCCGCAGUUAAGCGUGCUUGGGCGAGAGUAGUACUAGGAUGGGUGACCUCCUGGGAAGUCCUUGUGUUGCACCUCUUUUUGCCAAAAUUUCGUGUUCUUUUUGUUAAUUAGCGUAAUUUUACGUCGUUUUUGAAAAAUAAACUUCGAUUGUAUUUCAUUUUUUCCGUUAAUUUACGCUACCUAACACUCUAUUAGUUAAUUAAUUAGCGUAGUUUGACGUCUUUUUUGAAAAAUAAAUUAGAAAUGCAUAUAUACAAUUACAACGCUUUACUCUCAGGUGCGAUCAUACCAGCACUAAUGCACCGGAUCCCAUCAGAACUCCGCAGUUAAGCGUGCUUGGGCGAGAGUAGUACUAGGAUGGGUGACCUCCUGGGAAGUCCUUGUGUUGCACCUCUUUUUGCCAAAAUUUCGUGUUCUUUUUGUUAAUUAGCGUAAUUUUACGUCGUUUUUGAAAAAUAAACUUCGAUUGUAUUUCAUUUUUUCCGUUAAUUUACGCUACCUAACACUCUAUUAGUUAAUUAAUUAGCGUAGUUUGACGUCUUUUUUGAAAAAUAAAUUAGAAAUGCAUAUAUACAAUUACAACGCUUUACUCUCAGGUGCGAUCAUACCAGCACUAAUGCACCGGAUCCCAUCAGAACUCCGCAGUUAAGCGUGCUUGGGCGAGAGUAGUACUAGGAUGGGUGACCUCCUGGGAAGUCCUUGUGUUGCACCUCUUUUUGCCAAAAUUUCGUGUUCUUUUUGUUAAUUAGCGUAAUUUUACGUCGUUCCGUUAAUUUACGCUACCUAACACUCUAUUAGUUAAUUAAUUAGCGUAGUUUGACGUCUUUUUUGAAAAAUAAAUUAGAAAUGCAUAUAUACAAUUACAACGCUUUACUCUCAGGUGCGAUCAUACCAGCACUAAUGCACCGGAUCCCAUCAGAACUCCGCAGUUAAGCGUGCUUGGGCGAGAGUAGUCUAGGAUGGGUGACCUCCUGGGAAGUCCUUGUGUUGCACCUCUUUUUGCCAAAAUUUCGUGUUCUUUUUGUUAAUUAGCGUAAUUUUACGUCGUUUUUGAAAAAUAAACUUCGAUUGUAUUUCAUUUUUUCCGUUAAUUUACGCUACCUAACACUCUAUUAGUUAAUUAAUUAGCGUAGUUUGACGUCUUUUUUGAAAAAUAAAUUAGAAAUGCAUAUAUACAAUUACAACGCUUUACUCUCAGGUGCGAUCAUACCAGCACUAAUGCACCGGAUCCCAUCAGAACUCCGCAGUUAAGCGUGCUUGGGCGAGAGUAGUACUAGGAUGGGUGACCUCCUGGGAAGUCCUUGUGUUGCACCUCUUUUUGCCAAAAUUUCGUGUUCUUUUUGUUAAUUAGCGUAAUUUUACGUCGUUCCGUUAAUUUACGCUACCUAACACUCUAUUAGUUAAUUAAUUAGCGUAGUUUGACGUCUUUUUUGAAAAAUAAAUUAGAAAUGCAUAUAUACAAUUACAACGCUUUACUCUCAGGUGCGAUCAUACCAGCACUAAUGCACCGGAUCCCAUCAGAACUCCGCAGUUAAGCGUGCUUGGGCGAGAGUAGUACUAGGAUGGGUGACCUCCUGGGAAGUCCUUGUGUUGCACCUCUUUUUGCCAAAAUUUCGUGUUCUUUUUGUUAAUUAGCGUAAUUUUACGUCGUUUUUGAAAAAUAAACUUCGAUUGUAUUUCAUUUUUUCCGUUAAUUUACGCUACCUAACACUCUAUUAGUUAAUUAAUUAGCGUAGUUUGACGUCUUUUUUGAAAAAUAAAUUAGAAAUGCAUAUAUACAAUUACAACGCUUUACUCUCAGGUGCGAUCAUACCAGCACUAAUGCACCGGAUCCCAUCAGAACUCCGCAGUUAAGCGUGCUUGGGCGAGAGUAGUACUAGGAUGGGUGACCUCCUGGGAAGUCCUUGUGUUGCACCUCUUUUUGCCAAAAUUUCGUGUUCUUUUUGUUAAUUAGCGUAAUUUUACGUCGUUUUUGAAAAAUAAACUUCGAUUGUAUUUCAUUUUUUCCGUUAAUUUACGCUACCUAACACUCUAUUAGUUAAUUAAUUAGCGUAGUUUGACGUCUUUUUUGAAAAAUAAAUUAGAAAUGCAUAUAUACAAUUACAACGCUUUACUCUCAGGUGCGAUCAUACCAGCACUAAUGCACCGGAUCCCAUCAGAACUCCGCAGUUAAGCGUGCUUGGGCGAGAGUAGUACUAGGAUGGGUGACCUCCUGGGAAGUCCUUGUGUUGCACCUCUUUUUGCCAAAAUUUCGUGUUCUUUUUGUUAAUUAGCGUAAUUUUACGUCGUUCCGUUAAUUUACGCUACCUAACACUCUAUUAGUUAAUUAAUUAGCGUAGUUUGACGUCUUUUUUGAAAAAUAAAUUAGAAAUGCAUAUAUACAAUUACAACGCUUUACUCUCAGGUGCGAUCAUACCAGCACUAAUGCACCGGAUCCCAUCAGAACUCCGCAGUUAAGCGUGCUUGGGCGAGAGUAGUACUAGGAUGGGUGACCUCCUGGGAAGUCCUUGUGUUGCACCUCUUUUUGCCAAAAUUUCGUGUUCUUUUUGUUAAUUAGCGUAAUUUUACGUCGUUCCGUUAAUUUACGCUACCUAACACUCUAUUAGUUAAUUAAUUAGCGUAGUUUGACGUCUUUUUUGAAAAAUAAAUUAGAAAUGCAUAUAUACAAUUACAACGCUUUACUCUCAGGUGCGAUCAUACCAGCACUAAUGCACCGGAUCCCAUCAGAACUCCGCAGUUAAGCGUGCUUGGGCGAGAGUAGUACUAGGAUGGGUGACCUCCUGGGAAGUCCUUGUGUUGCACCUCUUUUGCCAAAAUUUCGUGUUCUUUUUGUUAAUUAGCGUAAUUUUACGUCGUUUUUGAAAAAUAAACUUCGAUUGUAUUUCAUUUUUUCCGUUAAUUUACGCUACCUAACACUCUAUUAGUUAAUUAAUUAGCGUAGUUUGACGUCUUUUUUGAAAAAUAAAUUAGAAAUGCAUAUAUACAAUUACAACGCUUUACUCUCAGGUGCGAUCAUACCAGCACUAAUGCACCGGAUCCCAUCAGAACUCCGCAGUUAAGCGUGCUUGGGCGAGAGUAGUACUAGGAUGGGUGACCUCCUGGGAAGUCCUUGUGUUGCACCUCUUUUUGCCAAAAUUUCGUGUUCUUUUUGUUAAUUAGCGUAAUUUUACGUCGUUUUUGAAAAAUAAACUUCGAUUGUAUUUCAUUUUUUCCGUUAAUUUACGCUACCUAACACUCUAUUAGUUAAUUAAUUAGCGUAGUUUGACGUCUUUUUUGAAAAAUAAAUUAGAAAUGCAUAUAUACAAUUACAACGCUUUACUCUAGGUGCGAUCAUACCAGCACUAAUGCACCGGAUCCCAUCAGAACUCCGCAGUUAAGCGUGCUUGGGCGAGAGUAGUACUAGGAUGGGUGACCUCCUGGGAAGUCCUUGUGUUGCACCUCUUUUUGCCAAAAUUUCGUGUUCUUUUUGUUAAUUAGCGUAAUUUUACGUCGUUCCGUUAAUUUACGCUACCUAACACUCUAUUAGUUAAUUAAUUAGCGUAGUUUGACGUCUUUUUUGAAAAAUAAAUUAGAAAUGCAUAUAUACAAUUACAACGCUUUACUCUCAGGUGCGAUCAUACCAGCACUAAUGCACCGGAUCCCAUCAGAACUCCGCAGUUAAGCGUGCUUGGGCGAGAGUAGUACUAGGAUGGGUGACCUCCUGGGAAGUCCUUGUGUUGCACCUCUUUUUGCCAAAAUUUCGUGUUCUUUUUGUUAAUUAGCGUAAUUUUACGUCGUUUUUGAAAAAUAAACUUCGAUUGUAUUUCAUUUUUUCCGUUAAUUUACGCUACCUAACACUCUAUUAGUUAAUUAAUUAGCGUAGUUUGACGUCUUUUUUGAAAAAUAAAUUAGAAAUGCAUAUAUACAAUUACAACGCUUUACUCUCAGGUGCGAUCAUACCAGCACUAAUGCACCGGAUCCCAUCAGAACUCCGCAGUUAAGCGUGCUUGGGCGAGAGUAGUACUAGGAUGGGUGACCUCCUGGGAAGUCCUUGUGUUGCACCUCUUUUUGCCAAAAUUUCGUGUUCUUUUUGUUAAUUAGCGUAAUUUUACGUCGUUCCGUUAAUUUACGCUACCUAACACUCUAUUAGUUAAUUAAUUAGCGUAGUUUGACGUCUUUUUUGAAAAAUAAAUUAGAAAUGCAUAUAUACAAUUACAACGCUUUACUCUCAGGUGCGAUCAUACCAGCACUAAUGCACCGGAUCCCAUCAGAACUCCGCAGUUAAGCGUGCUUGGGCGAGAGUAGUACUAGGAUGGGUGACCUCCUGGGAAGUCCUUGUGUUGCACCUCUUUUUGCCAAAAUUUCGUGUUCUUUUUGUUAAUUAGCGUAAUUUUACGUCGUUUUUGAAAAAUAAACUUCGAUUGUAUUUCAUUUUUUCCGUUAAUUUACGCUACCUAACACUCUAUUAGUUAAUUAAUUAGCGUAGUUUGACGUCUUUUUUGAAAAAUAAAUUAGAAAUGCAUAUAUACAAUUACAACGCUUUACUCUCAGGUGCGAUCAUACCAGCACUAAUGCACCGGAUCCCAUCAGAACUCCGCAGUUAAGCGUGCUUGGGCGAGAGUAGUACUAGGAUGGGUGACCUCCUGGGAAGUCCUUGUGUUGCACCUCUUUUUGCCAAAAUUUCGUGUUCUUUUUGUUAAUUAGCGUAAUUUUACGUCGUUCCGUUAAUUUACGCUACCUAACACUCUAUUAGUUAAUUAAUUAGCGUAGUUUGACGUCUUUUUUGAAAAAUAAAUUAGAAAUGCAUAUAUACAAUUACAACGCUUUACUCUCAGGUGCGAUCAUACCAGCACUAAUGCACCGGAUCCCAUCAGAACUCCGCAGUUAAGCGUGCUUGGGCGAGAGUAGUACUAGGAUGGGUGACCUCCUGGGAAGUCCUUGUGUUGCACCUCUUUUUGCCAAAAUUUCGUGUUCUUUUUGUUAAUUAGCGUAAUUUUACGUCGUUUUUGAAAAAUAAACUUCGAUUGUAUUUCAUUUUUUCCGUUAAUUUACGCUACCUAACACUCUAUUAGUUAAUUAAUUAGCGUAGUUUGACGUCUUUUUUGAAAAAUAAAUUAGAAAUGCAUAUAUACAAUUACAACGCUUUACUCUCAGGUGCGAUCAUACCAGCACUAAUGCACCGGAUCCCAUCAGAACUCCGCAGUUAAGCGUGCUUGGGCGAGAGUAGUACUAGGAUGGGUGACCUCCUGGGAAGUCCUUGUGUUGCACCUCUUUUUGCCAAAAUUUCGUGUUCUUUUUGUUAAUUAGCGUAAUUUUACGUCGUUCCGUUAAUUUACGCUACCUAACACUCUAUUAGUUAAUUAAUUAGCGUAGUUUGACGUCUUUUUUGAAAAAUAAAUUAGAAAUGCAUAUAUACAAUUACAACGCUUUACUCUCAGGUGCGAUCAUACCAGCACUAAUGCACCGGAUCCCAUCAGAACUCCGCAGUUAAGCGUGCUUGGGCGAGAGUAGUACUAGGAUGGGUGACCUCCUGGGAAGUCCUUGUGUUGCACCUCUUUUUGCCAAAAUUUCGUGUUCUUUUUGUUAAUUAGCGUAAUUUUACGUCGUUCCGUUAAUUUACGCUACCUAACACUCUAUUAGUUAAUUAAUUAGCGUAGUUUGACGUCUUUUUUGAAAAAUAAAUUAGAAAUGCAUAUAUACAAUUACAACGCUUUACUCUCAGGUGCGAUCAUACCAGCACUAAUGCACCGGAUCCCAUCAGAACUCCGCAGUUAAGCGUGCUUGGGCGAGAGUAGUACUAGGAUGGGUGACCUCCUGGGAAGUCCUUGUGUUGCACCUCUUUUUGCCAAAAUUUCGUGUUCUUUUUGUUAAUUAGCGUAAUUUUACGUCGUUUUUGAAAAAUAAACUUCGAUUGUAUUUCAUUUUUUCCGUUAAUUUACGCUACCUAACACUCUAUUAGUUAAUUAAUUAGCGUAGUUUGACGUCUUUUUUGAAAAAUAAAUUAGAAAUGCAUAUAUACAAUUACAACGCUUUACUCUCAGGUGCGAUCAUACCAGCACUAAUGCACCGGAUCCCAUCAGAACUCCGCAGUUAAGCGUGCUUGGGCGAGAGUAGUACUAGGAUGGGUGACCUCCUGGGAAGUCCUUGUGUUGCACCUCUUUUUGCCAAAAUUUCGUGUUCUUUUUGUUAAUUAGCGUAAUUUUACGUCGUUCCGUUAAUUUACGCUACCUAACACUCUAUUAGUUAAUUAAUUAGCGUAGUUUGACGUCUUUUUUGAAAAAUAAAUUAGAAAUGCAUAUAUACAAUUACAACGCUUUACUCUCAGGUGCGAUCAUACCAGCACUAAUGCACCGGAUCCCAUCAGAACUCCGCAGUUAAGCGUGCUUGGGCGAGAGUAGUACUAGGAUGGGUGACCUCCUGGGAAGUCCUUGUGUUGCACCUCUUUUUGCCAAAAUUUCGUGUUCUUUUUGUUAAUUAGCGUAAUUUUACGUCGUUUUUGAAAAAUAAACUUCGAUUGUAUUUCAUUUUUUCCGUUAAUUUACGCUACCUAACACUCUAUUAGUUAAUUAAUUAGCGUAGUUUGACGUCUUUUUUGAAAAAUAAAUUAGAAAUGCAUAUAUACAAUUACAACGCUUUACUCUCAGGUGCGAUCAUACCAGCACUAAUGCACCGGAUCCCAUCAGAACUCCGCAGUUAAGCGUGCUUGGGCGAGAGUAGUACUAGGAUGGGUGACCUCCUGGGAAGUCCUUGUGUUGCACCUCUUUUUGCCAAAAUUUCGUGUUCUUUUUGUUAAUUAGCGUAAUUUUACGUCGUUUUUGAAAAUAAACUUCGAUUGUAUUUCAUUUUUUCCGUUAAUUUACGCUACCUAACACUCUAUUAGUUAAUUAAUUAGCGUAGUUUGACGUCUUUUUUGAAAAAUAAAUUAGAAAUGCAUAUAUACAAUUACAACGCUUUACUCUCAGGUGCGAUCAUACCAGCACUAAUGCACCGGAUCCCAUCAGAACUCCGCAGUUAAGCGUGCUUGGGCGAGAGUAGUACUAGGAUGGGUGACCUCCUGGGAAGUCCUUGUGUUGCACCUCUUUUUGCCAAAAUUUCGUGUUCUUUUUGUUAAUUAGCGUAAUUUUACGUCGUUUCCGUUAAUUUACGCUACCUAACACUCUAUUAGUUAAUUAAUUAGCGUAGUUUGACGUCUUUUUUGAAAAAUAAAUUAGAAAUGCAUAUAUACAAUUACAACGCUUUACUCUCAGGUGCGAUCAUACCAGCACUAAUGCACCGGAUCCCAUCAGAACUCCGCAGUUAAGCGUGCUUGGGCGAGAGUAGUACUAGGAUGGGUGACCUCCUGGGAAGUCCUUGUGUUGCACCUCUUUUUGCCAAAAUUUCGUGUUCUUUUUGUUAAUUAGCGUAAUUUUACGUCGUUUUUGAAAAAUAAACUUCGAUUGUAUUUCAUUUUUUCCGUUAAUUUACGCUACCUAACACUCUAUUAGUUAAUUAAUUAGCGUAGUUUGACGUCUUUUUUGAAAAAUAAAUUAGAAAUGCAUAUAUACAAUUACAACGCUUUACUCUCAGGUGCGAUCAUACCAGCACUAAUGCACCGGAUCCCAUCAGAACUCCGCAGUUAAGCGUGCUUGGGCGAGAGUAGUACUAGGAUGGGUGACCUCCUGGGAAGUCCUUGUGUUGCACCUCUUUUUGCCAAAAUUUCGUGUUCUUUUUGUUAAUUAGCGUAAUUUUACGUCGUUCCGUUAAUUUACGCUACCUAACACUCUAUUAGUUAAUUAAUUAGCGUAGUUUGACGUCUUUUUUGAAAAAUAAAUUAGAAAUGCAUAUAUACAAUUACAACGCUUUACUCUCAGGUGCGAUCAUACCAGCACUAAUGCACCGGAUCCCAUCAGAACUCCGCAGUUAAGCGUGCUUGGGCGAGAGUAGUACUAGGAUGGGUGACCUCCUGGGAAGUCCUUGUGUUGCACCUCUUUUUGCCAAAAUUUCGUGUUCUUUUUGUUAAUUAGCGUAAUUUUACGUCGUUUUUGAAAAAUAAACUUCGAUUGUAUUUCAUUUUUUCCGUUAAUUUACGCUACCUAACACUCUAUUAGUUAAUUAAUUAGCGUAGUUUGACGUCUUUUUUGAAAAAUAAAUUAGAAAUGCAUAUAUACAAUUACAACGCUUUACUCUCAGGUGCGAUCAUACCAGCACUAAUGCACCGGAUCCCAUCAGAACUCCGCAGUUAAGCGUGCUUGGGCGAGAGUAGUACUAGGAUGGGUGACCUCCUGGGAAGUCCUUGUGUUGCACCUCUUUUUGCCAAAAUUUCGUGUUCUUUUUGUUAAUUAGCGUAAUUUUACGUCGUUCCGUUAAUUUACGCUACCUAACACUCUAUUAGUUAAUUAAUUAGCGUAGUUUGACGUCUUUUUUGAAAAAUAAAUUAGAAAUGCAUAUAUACAAUUACAACGCUUUACUCUCAGGUGCGAUCAUACCAGCACUAAUGCACCGGAUCCCAUCAGAACUCCGCAGUUAAGCGUGCUUGGGCGAGAGUAGUACUAGGAUGGGUGACCUCCUGGGAAGUCCUUGUGUUGCACCUCUUUUUGCCAAAAUUUCGUGUUCUUUUUGUUAAUUAGCGUAAUUUUACGUCGUUUUUGAAAAAUAAACUUCGAUUGUAUUUCAUUUUUUCCGUUAAUUUACGCUACCUAACACUCUAUUAGUUAAUUAAUUAGCGUAGUUUGACGUCUUUUUUGAAAAAUAAAUUAGAAAUGCAUAUAUACAAUUACAACGCUUUACUCUCAGGUGCGAUCAUACCAGCACUAAUGCACCGGAUCCCAUCAGAACUCCGCAGUUAAGCGUGCUUGGGCGAGAGUAGUACUAGGAUGGGUGACCUCCUGGGAAGUCCUUGUGUUGCACCUCUUUUUGCCAAAAUUUCGUGUUCUUUUUGUUAAUUAGCGUAAUUUUACGUCGUUCCGUUAAUUUACGCUACCUAACACUCUAUUAGUUAAUUAAUUAGCGUAGUUUGACGUCUUUUUUGAAAAAUAAAUUAGAAAUGCAUAUAUACAAUUACAACGCUUUACUCUCAGGUGCGAUCAUACCAGCACUAAUGCACCGGAUCCCAUCAGAACUCCGCAGUUAAGCGUGCUUGGGCGAGAGUAGUACUAGGAUGGGUGACCUCCUGGGAAGUCCUUGUGUUGCACCUCUUUUUGCCAAAAUUUCGUGUUCUUUUUGUUAAUUAGCGUAAUUUUACGUCGUUCCGUUAAUUUACGCUACCUAACACUCUAUUAGUUAAUUAAUUAGCGUAGUUUGACGUCUUUUUUGAAAAAUAAAUUAGAAAUGCAUAUAUACAAUUACAACGCUUUACUCUCAGGUGCGAUCAUACCAGCACUAAUGCACCGGAUCCCAUCAGAACUCCGCAGUUAAGCGUGCUUGGGCGAGAGUAGUACUAGGAUGGGUGACCUCCUGGGAAGUCCUUGUGUUGCACCUCUUUUUGCCAAAAUUUCGUGUUCUUUUUGUUAAUUAGCGUAAUUUUACGUCGUUUUGAAAAAUAAACUUCGAUUGUAUUUCAUUUUUUCCGUUAAUUUACGCUACCUAACACUCUAUUAGUUAAUUAAUUAGCGUAGUUUGACGUCUUUUUUGAAAAAUAAAUUAGAAAUGCAUAUAUACAAUUACAACGCUUUACUCUCAGGUGCGAUCAUACCAGCACUAAUGCACCGGAUCCCAUCAGAACUCCGCAGUUAAGCGUGCUUGGGCGAGAGUAGUACUAGGAUGGGUGACCUCCUGGGAAGUCCUUGUGUUGCACCUCUUUUUGCCAAAAUUUCGUGUUCUUUUUGUUAAUUAGCGUAAUUUUACGUCGUUCCGUUAAUUUACGCUACCUAACACUCUAUUAGUUAAUUAAUUAGCGUAGUUUGACGUCUUUUUUGAAAAAUAAAUUAGAAAUGCAUAUAUACAAUUACAACGCUUUACUCUCAGGUGCGAUCAUACCAGCACUAAUGCACCGGAUCCCAUCAGAACUCCGCAGUUAAGCGUGCUUGGGCGAGAGUAGUACUAGGAUGGGUGACCUCCUGGGAAGUCCUUGUGUUGCACCUCUUUUUGCCAAAAUUUCGUGUUCUUUUUGUUAAUUAGCGUAAUUUUACGUCGUUUUUGAAAAAUAAACUUCGAUUGUAUUUCAUUUUUUCCGUUAAUUUACGCUACCUAACACUCUAUUAGUUAAUUAAUUAGCGUAGUUUGACGUCUUUUUUGAAAAAUAAAUUAGAAAUGCAUAUAUACAAUUACAACGCUUUACUCUCAGGUGCGAUCAUACCAGCACUAAUGCACCGGAUCCCAUCAGAACUCCGCAGUUAAGCGUGCUUGGGCGAGAGUAGUACUAGGAUGGGUGACCUCCUGGGAAGUCCUUGUGUUGCACCUCUUUUUGCCAAAAUUUCGUGUUCUUUUUGUUAAUUAGCGUAAUUUUACGUCGUUCCGUUAAUUUACGCUACCUAACACUCUAUUAGUUAAUUAAUUAGCGUAGUUUGACGUCUUUUUUGAAAAAUAAAUUAGAAAUGCAUAUAUACAAUUACAACGCUUUACUCUCAGGUGCGAUCAUACCAGCACUAAUGCACCGGAUCCCAUCAGAACUCGCAGUUAAGCGUGCUUGGGCGAGAGUAGUACUAGGAUGGGUGACCUCCUGGGAAGUCCUUGUGUUGCACCUCUUUUUGCCAAAAUUUCGUGUUCUUUUUGUUAAUUAGCGUAAUUUUACGUCGUUCCGUUAAUUUACGCUACCUAACACUCUAUUAGUUAAUUAAUUAGCGUAGUUUGACGUCUUUUUUGAAAAAUAAAUUAGAAAUGCAUAUAUACAAUUACAACGCUUUACUCUCAGGUGCGAUCAUACCAGCACUAAUGCACCGGAUCCCAUCAGAACUCCGCAGUUAAGCGUGCUUGGGCGAGAGUAGUACUAGGAUGGGUGACCUCCUGGGAAGUCCUUGUGUUGCACCUCUUUUUGCCAAAAUUUCGUGUUCUUUUUGUUAAUUAGCGUAAUUUUACGUCGUUUUUGAAAAUAAACUUCGAUUGUAUUUCAUUUUUUCCGUUAAUUUACGCUACCUAACACUCUAUUAGUUAAUUAAUUAGCGUAGUUUGACGUCUUUUUUGAAAAAUAAAUUAGAAAUGCAUAUAUACAAUUACAACGCUUUACUCUCAGGUGCGAUCAUACCAGCACUAAUGCACCGGAUCCCAUCAGAACUCCGCAGUUAAGCGUGCUUGGGCGAGAGUAGUACUAGGAUGGGUGACCUCCUGGGAAGUCCUUGUGUUGCACCUCUUUUUGCCAAAAUUUCGUGUUCUUUUUGUUAAUUAGCGUAAUUUUACGUCGUUCCGUUAAUUUACGCUACCUAACACUCUAUUAGUUAAUUAAUUAGCGUAGUUUGACGUCUUUUUUGAAAAAUAAAUUAGAAAUGCAUAUAUACAAUUACAACGCUUUACUCUCAGGUGCGAUCAUACCAGCACUAAUGCACCGGAUCCCAUCAGAACUCCGCAGUUAAGCGUGCUUGGGCGAGAGUAGUACUAGGAUGGGUGACCUCCUGGGAAGUCCUUGUGUUGCACCUCUUUUUGCCAAAAUUUCGUGUUCUUUUUGUUAAUUAGCGUAAUUUUACGUCGUUUUUGAAAAAUAAACUUCGAUUGUAUUUCAUUUUUUCCGUUAAUUUACGCUACCUAACACUCUAUUAGUUAAUUAAUUAGCGUAGUUUGACGUCUUUUUUGAAAAAUAAAUUAGAAAUGCAUAUAUACAAUUACAACGCUUUACUCUCAGGUGCGAUCAUACCAGCACUAAUGCACCGGAUCCCAUCAGAACUCCGCAGUUAAGCGUGCUUGGGCGAGAGUAGUACUAGGAUGGGUGACCUCCUGGGAAGUCUUGUGUUGCACCUCUUUUUGCCAAAAUUUCGUGUUCUUUUUGUUAAUUAGCGUAAUUUUACGUCGUUCCGUUAAUUUACGCUACCUAACACUCUAUUAGUUAAUUAAUUAGCGUAGUUUGACGUCUUUUUUGAAAAAUAAAUUAGAAAUGCAUAUAUACAAUUACAACGCUUUACUCUCAGGUGCGAUCAUACCAGCACUAAUGCACCGGAUCCCAUCAGAACUCCGCAGUUAAGCGUGCUUGGGCGAGAGUAGUACUAGGAUGGGUGACCUCCUGGGAAGUCCUUGUGUUGCACCUCUUUUUGCCAAAAUUUCGUGUUCUUUUUGUUAAUUAGCGUAAUUUUACGUCGUUCCGUUAAUUUACGCUACCUAACACUCUAUUAGUUAAUUAAUUAGCGUAGUUUGACGUCUUUUUUGAAAAAUAAAUUAGAAAUGCAUAUAUACAAUUACAACGCUUUACUCUCAGGUGCGAUCAUACCAGCACUAAUGCACCGGAUCCCAUCAGAACUCCGCAGUUAAGCGUGCUUGGGCGAGAGUAGUACUAGGAUGGGUGACCUCCUGGGAAGUCCUUGUGUUGCACCUCUUUUUGCCAAAAUUUCGUGUUCUUUUUGUUAAUUAGCGUAAUUUUACGUCGUUUUUGAAAAAUAAACUUCGAUUGUAUUUCAUUUUUUCCGUUAAUUUACGCUACCUAACACUCUAUUAGUUAAUUAAUUAGCGUAGUUUGACGUCUUUUUUGAAAAAUAAAUUAGAAAUGCAUAUAUACAAUUACAACGCUUUACUCUCAGGUGCGAUCAUACCAGCACUAAUGCACCGGAUCCCAUCAGAACUCCGCAGUUAAGCGUGCUUGGGCGAGAGUAGUACUAGGAUGGGUGACCUCCUGGGAAGUCCUUGUGUUGCACCUCUUUUUGCCAAAAUUUCGUGUUCUUUUUGUUAAUUAGCGUAAUUUUACGUCGUUCCGUUAAUUUACGCUACCUAACACUCUAUUAGUUAAUUAAUUAGCGUAGUUUGACGUCUUUUUUGAAAAAUAAAUUAGAAAUGCAUAUAUACAAUUACAACGCUUUACUCUCAGGUGCGAUCAUACCAGCACUAAUGCACCGGAUCCCAUCAGAACUCCGCAGUUAAGCGUGCUUGGGCGAGAGUAGUACUAGGAUGGGUGACCUCCUGGGAAGUCCUUGUGUUGCACCUCUUUUUGCCAAAAUUUCGUGUUCUUUUUGUUAAUUAGCGUAAUUUUACGUCGUUUUUGAAAAAUAAACUUCGAUUGUAUUUCAUUUUUUCCGUUAAUUUACGCUACCUAACACUCUAUUAGUUAAUUAAUUAGCGUAGUUUGACGUCUUUUUUGAAAAAUAAAUUAGAAAUGCAUAUAUACAAUUACAACGCUUUACUCUCAGGUGCGAUCAUACCAGCACUAAUGCACCGGAUCCCAUCAGAACUCCGCAGUUAAGCGUGCUUGGGCGAGAGUAGUACUAGGAUGGGUGACCUCCUGGGAAGUCCUUGUGUUGCACCUCUUUUUGCCAAAAUUUCGUGUUCUUUUUGUUAAUUAGCGUAAUUUUACGUCGUUCCGUUAAUUUACGCUACCUAACACUCUAUUAGUUAAUUAAUUAGCGUAGUUUGACGUCUUUUUUGAAAAAUAAAUUAGAAAUGCAUAUAUACAAUUACAACGCUUUACUCUCAGGUGCGAUCAUACCAGCACUAAUGCACCGGAUCCCAUCAGAACUCCGCAGUUAAGCGUGCUUGGGCGAGAGUAGUACUAGGAUGGGUGACCUCCUGGGAAGUCCUUGUGUUGCACCUCUUUUUGCCAAAAUUUCGUGUUCUUUUUGUUAAUUAGCGUAAUUUUACGUCGUUUUUGAAAAAUAAACUUCGAUUGUAUUUCAUUUUUUCCGUUAAUUUACGCUACCUAACACUCUAUUAGUUAAUUAAUUAGCGUAGUUUGACGUCUUUUUUGAAAAAUAAAUUAGAAAUGCAUAUAUACAAUUACAACGCUUUACUCUCAGGUGCGAUCAUACCAGCACUAAUGCACCGGAUCCCAUCAGAACUCCGCAGUUAAGCGUGCUUGGGCGAGAGUAGUACUAGGAUGGGUGACCUCCUGGGAAGUCCUUGUGUUGCACCUCUUUUUGCCAAAAUUUCUUGUUCUUUUUGUUAAUUAGCGUAAUUUUACGUCGUUUUUGAAAAAUAAACUUCGAUUGUAUUUCAUUUUUCCGUUAAUUUACGCUACCUAACACUCUAUUAGUUAAUUAAUUAGCGUAGUUUGACGUCUUUUUUGAAAAAUAAAUUAGAAAUGCAUAUAUACAAUUACAACGCUUUACUCUCAGGUGCGAUCAUACCAGCACUAAUGCACCGGAUCCCAUCAGAACUCCGCAGUUAAGCGUGCUUGGGCGAGAGUAGUACUAGGAUGGGUGACCUCCUGGGAAGUCCUUGUGUUGCACCUCUUUUUGCCAAAAUUUCGUGUUCUUUUUGUUAAUUAGCGUAAUUUUACGUCGUUUUUGAAAAUAAACUUCGAUUGUAUUUCAUUUUUUCCGUUAAUUUACGCUACCUAACACUCUAUUAGUUAAUUAAUUAGCGUAGUUUGACGUCUUUUUUGAAAAAUAAAUUAGAAAUGCAUAUAUACAAUUACAACGCUUUACUCUCAGGUGCGAUCAUACCAGCACUAAUGCACCGGAUCCCAUCAGAACUCCGCAGUUAAGCGUGCUUGGGCGAGAGUAGUACUAGGAUGGGUGACCUCCUGGGAAGUCCUUGUGUUGCACCUCUUUUUGCCAAAAUUUCGUGUUCUUUUUGUUAAUUAGCGUAAUUUUACGUCGUUCCGUUAAUUUACGCUACCUAACACUCUAUUAGUUAAUUAAUUAGCGUAGUUUGACGUCUUUUUUGAAAAAUAAAUUAGAAAUGCAUAUAUACAAUUACAACGCUUUACUCUCAGGUGCGAUCAUACCAGCACUAAUGCACCGGAUCCCAUCAGAACUCCGCAGUUAAGCGUGCUUGGGCGAGAGUAGUACUAGGAUGGGUGACCUCCUGGGAAGUCCUUGUGUUGCACCUCUUUUUGCCAAAAUUUCGUGUUCUUUUUGUUAAUUAGCGUAAUUUUACGUCGUUCCGUUAAUUUACGCUACCUAACACUCUAUUAGUUAAUUAAUUAGCGUAGUUUGACGUCUUUUUUGAAAAAUAAAUUAGAAAUGCAUAUAUACAAUUACAACGCUUUACUCUCAGGUGCGAUCAUACCAGCACUAAUGCACCGGAUCCCAUCAGAACUCCGCAGUUAAGCGUGCUUGGGCGAGAGUAGUACUAGGAUGGGUGACCUCCUGGGAAGUCCUUGUGUUGCACCUCUUUUUGCCAAAAUUUCGUGUUCUUUUUGUUAAUUAGCGUAAUUUUACGUCGUUUUUGAAAAAUAAACUUCGAUUGUAUUUCAUUUUUUCCGUUAAUUUACGCUACCUAACACUCUAUUAGUUAAUUAAUUAGCGUAGUUUGACGUCUUUUUUGAAAAUAAAUUAGAAAUGCAUAUAUACAAUUACAACGCUUUACUCUCAGGUGCGAUCAUACCAGCACUAAUGCACCGGAUCCCAUCAGAACUCCGCAGUUAAGCGUGCUUGGGCGAGAGUAGUACUAGGAUGGGUGACCUCCUGGGAAGUCCUUGUGUUGCACCUCUUUUUGCCAAAAUUUCGUGUUCUUUUUGUUAAUUAGCGUAAUUUUACGUCGUUUUUGAAAAAUAAACUUCGAUUGUAUUUCAUUUUUUCCGUUAAUUUACGCUACCUAACACUCUAUUAGUUAAUUAAUUAGCGUAGUUUGACGUCUUUUUUGAAAAAUAAAUUAGAAAUGCAUAUAUACAAUUACAACGCUUUACUCUCAGGUGCGAUCAUACCAGCACUAAUGCACCGGAUCCCAUCAGAACUCCGCAGUUAAGCGUGCUUGGGCGAGAGUAGUACUAGGAUGGGUGACCUCCUGGGAAGUCCUUGUGUUGCACCUCUUUUUGCCAAAAUUUCGUGUUCUUUUUGUUAAUUAGCGUAAUUUUACGUCGUUUUUGAAAAAUAAACUUCGAUUGUAUUUCAUUUUUUCCGUUAAUUUACGCUACCUAACACUCUAUUAGUUAAUUAAUUAGCGUAGUUUGACGUCUUUUUUGAAAAAUAAAUUAGAAAUGCAUAUAUACAAUUACAACGCUUUACUCUCAGGUGCGAUCAUACCAGCACUAAUGCACCGGAUCCCAUCAGAACUCCGCAGUUAAGCGUGCUUGGGCGAGAGUAGUACUAGGAUGGGUGACCUCCUGGGAAGUCCUUGUGUUGCACCUCUUUUUGCCAAAAUUUCGUGUUCUUUUUGUUAAUUAGCGUAAUUUUACGUCGUUCCGUUAAUUUACGCUACCUAACACUCUAUUAGUUAAUUAAUUAGCGUAGUUUGACGUCUUUUUUGAAAAAUAAAUUAGAAAUGCAUAUAUACAAUUACAACGCUUUACUCUCAGGUGCGAUCAUACCAGCACUAAUGCACCGGAUCCCAUCAGAACUCCGCAGUUAAGCGUGCUUGGGCGAGAGUAGUACUAGGAUGGGUGACCUCCUGGGAAGUCCUUGUGUUGCACCUCUUUUUGCCAAAAUUUCGUGUUCUUUUUGUUAAUUAGCGUAAUUUUACGUCGUUUUUGAAAAAUAAACUUCGAUUGUAUUUCAUUUUUUCCGUUAAUUUACGCUACCUAACACUCUAUUAGUUAAUUAAUUAGCGUAGUUUGACGUCUUUUUUGAAAAAUAAAUUAGAAAUGCAUAUAUACAAUUACAACGCUUUACUCUCAGGUGCGAUCAUACCAGCACUAAUGCACCGGAUCCCAUCAGAACUCCGCAGUUAAGCGUGCUUGGGCGAGAGUAGUACUAGGAUGGGUGACCUCCUGGGAAGUCCUUGUGUUGCACCUCUUUUUGCCAAAAUUUCGUGUUCUUUUUGUUAAUUAGCGUAAUUUUACGUCGUUCCGUUAAUUUACGCUACCUAACACUCUAUUAGUUAAUUAAUUAGCGUAGUUUGACGUCUUUUUUGAAAAAUAAAUUAGAAAUGCAUAUAUACAAUUACAACGCUUUACUCUCAGGUGCGAUCAUACCAGCACUAAUGCACCGGAUCCCAUCAGAACUCCGCAGUUAAGCGUGCUUGGGCGAGAGUAGUACUAGGAUGGGUGACCUCCUGGGAAGUCCUUGUGUUGCACCUCUUUUUGCCAAAAUUUCGUGUUCUUUUUGUUAAUUAGCGUAAUUUUACGUCGUUUUUGAAAAAUAAACUUCGAUUGUAUUUCAUUUUUUCCGUUAAUUUACGCUACCUAACACUCUAUUAGUUAAUUAAUUAGCGUAGUUUGACGUCUUUUUUGAAAAAUAAAUUAGAAAUGCAUAUAUACAAUUACAACGCUUUACUCUCAGGUGCGAUCAUACCAGCACUAAUGCACCGGAUCCCAUCAGAACUCCGCAGUUAAGCGUGCUUGGGCGAGAGUAGUACUAGGAUGGGUGACCUCCUGGGAAGUCCUUGUGUUGCACCUCUUUUUGCCAAAAUUUCGUGUUCUUUUUGUUAAUUAGCGUAAUUUUACGUCGUUUUUGAAAAAUAAACUUCGAUUGUAUUUCAUUUUUUCCGUUAAUUUACGCUACCUAACACUCUAUUAGUUAAUUAAUUAGCGUAGUUUGACGUCUUUUUUGAAAAAUAAAUUAGAAAUGCAUAUAUACAAUUACAACGCUUUACUCUCAGGUGCGAUCAUACCAGCACUAAUGCACCGGAUCCCAUCAGAACUCCGCAGUUAAGCGUGCUUGGGCGAGAGUAGUACUAGGAUGGGUGACCUCCUGGGAAGUCCUUGUGUUGCACCUCUUUUUGCCAAAAUUUCGUGUUCUUUUUGUUAAUUAGCGUAAUUUUACGUCGUUCCGUUAAUUUACGCUACCUAACACUCUAUUAGUUAAUUAAUUAGCGUAGUUUGACGUCUUUUUUGAAAAAUAAAUUAGAAAUGCAUAUAUACAAUUACAACGCUUUACUCUCAGGUGCGAUCAUACCAGCACUAAUGCACCGGAUCCCAUCAGAACUCCGCAGUUAAGCGUGCUUGGGCGAGAGUAGUACUAGGAUGGGUGACCUCCUGGGAAGUCCUUGUGUUGCACCUCUUUUUGCCAAAAUUUCGUGUUCUUUUUGUUAAUUAGCGUAAUUUUACGUCGUUUUUGAAAAAUAAACUUCGAUUGUAUUUCAUUUUUUCCGUUAAUUUACGCUACCUAACACUCUAUUAGUUAAUUAAUUAGCGUAGUUUGACGUCUUUUUUGAAAAAUAAAUUAGAAAUGCAUAUAUACAAUUACAACGCUUUACUCUCAGGUGCGAUCAUACCAGCACUAAUGCACCGGAUCCCAUCAGAACUCCGCAGUUAAGCGUGCUUGGGCGAGAGUAGUACUAGGAUGGGUGACCUCCUGGGAAGUCCUUGUGUUGCACCUCUUUUUGCCAAAAUUUCGUGUUCUUUUUGUUAAUUAGCGUAAUUUUACGUCGUUCCGUUAAUUUACGCUACCUAACACUCUAUUAGUUAAUUAAUUAGCGUAGUUUGACGUCUUUUUUGAAAAAUAAAUUAGAAAUGCAUAUAUACAAUUACAACGCUUUACUCUCAGGUGCGAUCAUACCAGCACUAAUGCACCGGAUCCCAUCAGAACUCCGCAGUUAAGCGUGCUUGGGCGAGAGUAGUACUAGGAUGGGUGACCUCCUGGGAAGUCCUUGUGUUGCACCUCUUUUUGCCAAAAUUUCGUGUUCUUUUUGUUAAUUAGCGUAAUUUUACGUCGUUUUUGAAAAAUAAACUUCGAUUGUAUUUCAUUUUUUCCGUUAAUUUACGCUACCUAACACUCUAUUAGUUAAUUAAUUAGCGUAGUUUGACGUCUUUUUUGAAAAAUAAAUUAGAAAUGCAUAUAUACAAUUACAACGCUUUACUCUCAGGUGCGAUCAUACCAGCACUAAUGCACCGGAUCCCAUCAGAACUCCGCAGUUAAGCGUGCUUGGGCGAGAGUAGUACUAGGAUGGGUGACCUCCUGGGAAGUCCUUGUGUUGCACCUCUUUUUGCCAAAAUUUCGUGUUCUUUUUGUUAAUUAGCGUAAUUUUACGUCGUUCCGUUAAUUUACGCUACCUAACACUCUAUUAGUUAAUUAAUUAGCGUAGUUUGACGUCUUUUUUGAAAAAUAAAUUAGAAAUGCAUAUAUACAAUUACAACGCUUUACUCUCAGGUGCGAUCAUACCAGCACUAAUGCACCGGAUCCCAUCAGAACUCCGCAGUUAAGCGUGCUUGGGCGAGAGUAGUACUAGGAUGGGUGACCUCCUGGGAAGUCCUUGUGUUGCACCUCUUUUUGCCAAAAUUUCGUGUUCUUUUUGUUAAUUAGCGUAAUUUUACGUCGUUUUUGAAAAAUAAACUUCGAUUGUAUUUCAUUUUUUCCGUUAAUUUACGCUACCUAACACUCUAUUAGUUAAUUAAUUAGCGUAGUUUGACGUCUUUUUUGAAAAAUAAAUUAGAAAUGCAUAUAUACAAUUACAACGCUUUACUCUCAGGUGCGAUCAUACCAGCACUAAUGCACCGGAUCCCAUCAGAACUCCGCAGUUAAGCGUGCUUGGGCGAGAGUAGUACUAGGAUGGGUGACCUCCUGGGAAGUCCUUGUGUUGCACCUCUUUUUGCCAAAAUUUCGUGUUCUUUUUGUUAAUUAGCGUAAUUUUACGUCGUUCCGUUAAUUUACGCUACCUAACACUCUAUUAGUUAAUUAAUUAGCGUAGUUUGACGUCUUUUUUGAAAAAUAAAUUAGAAAUGCAUAUAUACAAUUACAACGCUUUACUCUCAGGUGCGAUCAUACCAGCACUAAUGCACCGGAUCCCAUCAGAACUCCGCAGUUAAGCGUGCUUGGGCGAGAGUAGUACUAGGAUGGGUGACCUCCUGGGAAGUCCUUGUGUUGCACCUCUUUUUGCCAAAAUUUCGUGUUCUUUUUGUUAAUUAGCGUAAUUUUACGUCGUUCCGUUAAUUUACGCUACCUAACACUCUAUUAGUUAAUUAAUUAGCGUAGUUUGACGUCUUUUUUGAAAAAUAAAUUAGAAAUGCAUAUAUACAAUUACAACGCUUUACUCUCAGGUGCGAUCAUACCAGCACUAAUGCACCGGAUCCCAUCAGAACUCCGCAGUUAAGCGUGCUUGGGCGAGAGUAGUACUAGGAUGGGUGACCUCCUGGGAAGUCCUUGUGUUGCACCUCUUUUUGCCAAAAUUUCGUGUUCUUUUUGUUAAUUAGCGUAAUUUUACGUCGUUUUUGAAAAAUAAACUUCGAUUGUAUUUCAUUUUUUCCGUUAAUUUACGCUACCUAACACUCUAUUAGUUAAUUAAUUAGCGUAGUUUGACGUCUUUUUUGAAAAAUAAAUUAGAAAUGCAUAUAUACAAUUACAACGCUUUACUCUCAGGUGCGAUCAUACCAGCACUAAUGCACCGGAUCCCAUCAGAACUCCGCAGUUAAGCGUGCUUGGGCGAGAGUAGUACUAGGAUGGGUGACCUCCUGGGAAGUCCUUGUGUUGCACCUCUUUUUGCCAAAAUUUCGUGUUCUUUUUGUUAAUUAGCGUAAUUUUACGUCGUUCCGUUAAUUUACGCUACCUAACACUCUAUUAGUUAAUUAAUUAGCGUAGUUUGACGUCUUUUUUGAAAAAUAAAUUAGAAAUGCAUAUAUACAAUUACAACGCUUUACUCUCAGGUGCGAUCAUACCAGCACUAAUGCACCGGAUCCCAUCAGAACUCCGCAGUUAAGCGUGCUUGGGCGAGAGUAGUACUAGGAUGGGUGACCUCCUGGGAAGUCCUUGUGUUGCACCUCUUUUUGCCAAAAUUUCGUGUUCUUUUUGUUAAUUAGCGUAAUUUUACGUCGUUCCGUUAAUUUACGCUACCUAACACUCUAUUAGUUAAUUAAUUAGCGUAGUUUGACGUCUUUUUUGAAAAAUAAAUUAGAAAUGCAUAUAUACAAUUACAACGCUUUACUCUCAGGUGCGAUCAUACCAGCACUAAUGCACCGGAUCCCAUCAGAACUCCGCAGUUAAGCGUGCUUGGGCGAGAGUAGUACUAGGAUGGGUGACCUCCUGGGAAGUCCUUGUGUUGCACCUCUUUUUGCCAAAAUUUCGUGUUCUUUUUGUUAAUUAGCGUAAUUUUACGUCGUUUUUGAAAAAUAAACUUCGAUUGUAUUUCAUUUUUUCCGUUAAUUUACGCUACCUAACACUCUAUUAGUUAAUUAAUUAGCGUAGUUUGACGUCUUUUUUGAAAAAUAAAUUAGAAAUGCAUAUAUACAAUUACAACGCUUUACUCUCAGGUGCGAUCAUACCAGCACUAAUGCACCGGAUCCCAUCAGAACUCCGCAGUUAAGCGUGCUUGGGCGAGAGUAGUACUAGGAUGGGUGACCUCCUGGGAAGUCCUUGUGUUGCACCUCUUUUUGCCAAAAUUUCGUGUUCUUUUUGUUAAUUAGCGUAAUUUUACGUCGUUCCGUUAAUUUACGCUACCUAACACUCUAUUAGUUAAUUAAUUAGCGUAGUUUGACGUCUUUUUUGAAAAAUAAAUUAGAAAUGCAUAUAUACAAUUACAACGCUUUACUCUCAGGUGCGAUCAUACCAGCACUAAUGCACCGGAUCCCAUCAAAACUCCGCAGCUAAGCGUGCUUGGGCGAGAGUAGUACUAGGAUGGGUGACCUCCUGGGAAGUCCUUGUGUUGCACCUCUUUUUGCCAAAAUUUCUUGUUCUUUUUGUUAAUUAGCGUAAUUUUACGUCGUUUUUGAAAAAUAAACUUCGAUUGUAUUUCAUUUUUUCCGUUAAUUUACGCUACCUAACACUCUAUUAGUUAAUUAAUUAGCGUAGUUUGACGUCUUUUUUGAAAAAUAAAUUAGAAAUGCAUAUAUACAAUUACAACGCUUUACUCUCAGGUGCGAUCAUACCAGCACUAAUGCACCGGAUCCCAUCAGAACUCCGCAGUUAAGCGUGCUUGGGCGAGAGUAGUACUAGGAUGGGUGACCUCCUGGGAAGUCCUUGUGUUGCACCUCUUUUUGCCAAAAUUUCGUGUUCUUUUUGUUAAUUAGCGUAAUUUUACGUCGUUCCGUUAAUUUACGCUACCUAACACUCUAUUAGUUAAUUAAUUAGCGUAGUUUGACGUCUUUUUUGAAAAAUAAAUUAGAAAUGCAUAUAUACAAUUACAACGCUUUACUCUCAGGUGCGAUCAUACCAGCACUAAUGCACCGGAUCCCAUCAGAACUCCGCAGUUAAGCGUGCUUGGGCGAGAGUAGUACUAGGAUGGGUGACCUCCUGGGAAGUCCUUGUGUUGCACCUCUUUUUGCCAAAAUUUCGUGUUCUUUUUGUUAAUUAGCGUAAUUUUACGUCGUUCCGUUAAUUUACGCUACCUAACACUCUAUUAGUUAAUUAAUUAGCGUAGUUUGACGUCUUUUUUGAAAAAUAAAUUAGAAAUGCAUAUAUACAAUUACAACGCUUUACUCUCAGGUGCGAUCAUACCAGCACUAAUGCACCGGAUCCCAUCAGAACUCCGCAGUUAAGCGUGCUUGGGCGAGAGUAGUACUAGGAUGGGUGACCUCCUGGGAAGUCCUUGUGUUGCACCUCUUUUUGCCAAAAUUUCGUGUUCUUUUUGUUAAUUAGCGUAAUUUUACGUCGUUUUUGAAAAAUAAACUUCGAUUGUAUUUCAUUUUUUCCGUUAAUUUACGCUACCUAACACUCUAUUAGUUAAUUAAUUAGCGUAGUUUGACGUCUUUUUUGAAAAAUAAAUUAGAAAUGCAUAUAUACAAUUACAACGCUUUACUCUCAGGUGCGAUCAUACCAGCACUAAUGCACCGGAUCCCAUCAGAACUCCGCAGUUAAGCGUGCUUGGGCGAGAGUAGUACUAGGAUGGGUGACCUCCUGGGAAGUCCUUGUGUUGCACCUCUUUUUGCCAAAAUUUCGUGUUCUUUUUGUUAAUUAGCGUAAUUUUACGUCGUUCCGUUAAUUUACGCUACCUAACACUCUAUUAGUUAAUUAAUUAGCGUAGUUUGACGUCUUUUUUGAAAAAUAAAUUAGAAAUGCAUAUAUACAAUUACAACGCUUUACUCUCAGGUGCGAUCAUACCAGCACUAAUGCACCGGAUCCCAUCAGAACUCCGCAGUUAAGCGUGCUUGGGCGAGAGUAGUACUAGGAUGGGUGACCUCCUGGGAAGUCCUUGUGUUGCACCUCUUUUUGCCAAAAUUUCGUGUUCUUUUUGUUAAUUAGCGUAAUUUUACGUCGUUCCGUUAAUUUACGCUACCUAACACUCUAUUAGUUAAUUAAUUAGCGUAGUUUGACGUCUUUUUUGAAAAAUAAAUUAGAAAUGCAUAUAUACAAUUACAACGCUUUACUCUCAGGUGCGAUCAUACCAGCACUAAUGCACCGGAUCCCAUCAGAACUCCGCAGUUAAGCGUGCUUGGGCGAGAGUAGUACUAGGAUGGGUGAUGUAACACCCCGUUUUCCCAAUGUG
rnacentral:lncRNA from 1 species